rnacentral:lncRNA from 1 species
AAACCGGUAAGCUCACCUUUAGCCAAUCAUAUCAAGUUGAGCAAAGAGUCGUGUCCAAAAACAUAUGAAGAAAAGGAGAAAAUGGCAGUUGUUCCCUACUCUUCAGCAGUAGGAAGUAUCAUGUAUGCAAUGGUGUGCACACGACCAGAUAUUGCUCAUGCAGUAGGUGUGGUGAGCAGGUUUCUCUCUAAUCCAGGGAAGGACCACUGGGAAGCCGUUAAGUGGAUUCUCAGAUAUUUGAAGGGGACUUCUAAGAUGUGCUUGUGCUUUGGCGGUUCCAAACCAAUCUUGGAAGGAUUUACAGAUGCUGACAUGGGAGGUGACCUGGAUGGUAGAAAAUCUACGUCUGGGUACUUGUUUACUUUUGCAGGGGGAGCCGUGUCUUGGCAAUCCAAGUUACAAAAGUGCAUUGCUUUGUCCACAACCGAGGCUGAAUACAUAGCCGCUACAGAAGCAUGCAAGGAGUUGUUGUGGCUGAAGCGGUUUCUCCAAGAGUUGGGUUUGAAGCAAAGUGAUUAUGGCGUUUAUUGUGAUAGUCAGAGUGCUCUGGAUUUGAGCAAGAACACUACAUAUCAUUCACGCACUAAGCACAUUGAUAUUCGUUAUCACUGGAUUAGAGACGCUAUCGAGAACAAGUUGCUACAGCUGAAGAAGAUUCAUACCGAUAAUAAUUCUUCAGACAUGUUGACAAAGGUGGUCACAAAAUCAAAGUUGGAAUUCUGCAUUAAGGCUGCUGGGAUGGACUCCAGGUAACUUGGAGUCAUGAUCGGAAUUCCUCCCUCAUGGACUGGAGGGGGAGAUUGUUGGUAUAUGGUCCAGCCCAUGAUCAAUGUUCUAGAUUAUUCUAGUAAGCAAGAGAGAUGGCUGGAGCAUGCUAGACAAUUCUAGCAUGUUAUUAAGUUGAUGGAAGAAGCUAGAGAGUACUAGCUUCCUUGGUUGCAAAUGGAAAGAUCUAGAAGCCACACUUUUGUGGCUAGUCUAGAUCUUUCUAUGCUAGAGGUUUGAAGAAUACACUAGAAAACUAGUAGAAUGCCAAACCCUCACCUAUAAAUAUGGGUGUGAUGUUGUAGUGAACCAACAAAUCAAGAGAGUAGUGAGUAGCAAAGGAUCAAGUCCAAAGCUAGAGUUCCACUCCAAGAGUGAGAGUGAGAGUGUUCCACUACACAUUGUGUGAGUGAAGUUUAGUGUGAUAGAAAGUGUGUCCUACUUUCUUGUAUCCAUCAAGCCUUGUCUUUGGCUUGGUAAGACUACUCUUGUUGUACUCAUCUUUUCAUAUAGUGAAGAUUGAUCCUUGUUUGGUGGACGUAGGCAUAAAUUGCCGAACCACAUAAAUUUUUGGUGUCCAUUUUCUACUUUACUUUGUGCAUUCUCUAUCUUGUAGUACCGACAUUCCUAACAAUUAGUACUAUCUGGUGUCCUAUACGGUGUGCCAAACAGGGCCUUAGAUAGGUGCCAUUUAAGGGUGUAGAUGGAGGUCAGCUACUUUGUGUUGUUAGCAUUGACCUAAAUGAUGAAACAUGGGUUAUUGCAUAUGCAGUGGCAAAAAUGGAGAAUAAGAAAGCUUGGAUUUGGUUCCUACAGUUGUUGGCCGAAGAUGUUGGCAUUGUCAAUCAACAUAAGUGAACAUUUAUCAGUGAUAAGAAAAAAGGAUUAGUUCCAGCCUUUCAAAAAGUACUCCUAAUUCCCACCACAGAUUUUGUGUGAGACAUUUGUACACCAACUUCAUAAAUUUGUUCAAGUGGAAGACUUUGAAAGAUGCUUUAUGGGCAAUAGCCAGAACAACAACAGUUUCCCACUUCAAAAAAACAAUGGAGGAUAUGAAAAGGUUGGAUAAAAAUGCCUACAAAUAGCUGCUGAAGAAGCCUGCAAAUCAGUGGAGCAAGUCUCAUUUUGAUUCCUAUCCAAAGUGUGACAUGUUGCUUAACAAUUUGUGUAAAAGUUUCAAUGCUGCCAUACUUGUGCCAAAACAAAAACCUAUAAUUAGGAUGCUACUCCAUAUUCACACAUUGUUUAUUAAGAGAAUUCAAAUGAAGAGGGACAUAAUGGCGAAGAAAGUUGGAGAUAUCUAUCCUAAAAUAAAGAAGAAGUUGGGGGAAGCCAAAAUUUAAAGUGGUAGGUGCAUUGCACAAUGGUCAGGAGGGGCUAAAUUUCAAGUUGAAGCUGAAAGGAGGAACAAUAUGUGGUUGACUUGGUGGAGAAGACAUGUUCGUGUAAAAAGUAUGGCUUGACAGGAAUCUCAUGCAACCAUGCAAUAACUGCCAUAAAUUUUAAGAGACAACAACUUGAGGAUUAUGUGGAUGCUUAUUAUUUGAAGACACGGUAUUUGGAGGUGUAUUCUCAUUUAGUAAUGUCGAUGAAUGGGAUGUCUAUGUGAAAGGAAAAUGAAAACCCUCCAAUAUUGCCUCCAACAUAUACAAGGCAACCUGGAAGACCGAGGCUGAUGAGAAACAAUGAAGCUGCUGAGAGGGAAAAAGAGGUCGAACAAACUCCCACAAACCCAACCAAUAAUCCUCAAGGUUCUCCUCAGCCACUGAAGCUAGGAAGAAAAAGGCAAGGCACUUUGAAAUGUACCAUAUGCAAACAUGAAGGCCAUAAUGCAAGGACUUAUCAUAGACACCUUCCUCUAAGGGACAAAAGGGUAACAUUUUGUACUAUGUGGAUUUUUUAAAUUGUUUUAAUCUUAAACUCUAAAUCCUUUCUGACAUGCCCCAACCCCAGUAUCCCCAAAUAUCAAGUUAGGUACGUGCUAGUUGACACCUAAAGGUGACGAAGCCAUUUUAAACAUGCAUAUAACUAAAAUGUAUGCAAUUAGAACAAUUAUACCAAAGCAGGAACGUGUUCAGAGCAUACAACUAACUAAGAAUAAUAUGAAAGAACUACUAGGAAAAGAUACGAACAAGGGAAUGAUACCUAUACUGAGGAGACUCGAGGGUACCUAUGCUGUAGAGUUCUGACGCCGGGAUCAUGUGCCUCGAUCCUAACUCAUGAGGGGAUGCAAAAAUAGAAAAGGUGAGUGGACCAAAGUUUAUAAUAAUAAUAUUAAUAAUAGAAAAACCGUUUUCUUUAUGAACAUAGUAACCCCCUAUUUUGAAAACAUAAAUAAUACUACAUAUAGGUUUUAUAAAAACCCUAGUAUGCUGCGCAAAACUUUCGUAAAACAUGUACGUGUAAAACCAUGUUCAAAAAUGCUGAAAACGUCGCCCAAAGGCAAAUCCAUAAAUCUCAUCAGUGAAGUACUCAACUAAAGGUAUCAUAGUUGCCCGAAGGCAGUACCUGUCCAUCACCCCAAGGUGAAGCUGAAUACUUGUGCAUCACCUGUAGGUGAAGCUGAAUCAAAUAGCAUAACAUCCACACCGACACUAGCCGUGGCUAGUGAAGCUGUCCGACAUCGCUUUCGACAGUGAAGCUGGGGGUAUAAUAUAUAUCAUAACUCACUCCUCCAUCAUCUGUGUCCUAUGGCCAUAGACAUUUAUACCCGUUGUGUACGGAUGUGCCAUAUGAUUACCCACUAGGUAAGUACUGAAAACAUAUCUCAAAAUCUCAAGCCAAAUCACCAAAUCUCAAGGGUUCAAAAUCUCAUUUCAUAAAUCGUAUAUAAAAACAUAUUCGUAAAUCCAAUGAGUUUCAUAUAUGCAAUUCCAAUCAUUCAUAUCCGCUCGUAAAAAUGUAAUUUCAAUAAAUCAUAAUAUUUCGUAAAGCAACUUAAUUAAAUCAUGGAUUCUACAUAAACCAUAAUUAUAGAAAUCCUGGAAACAUAAUAUAAAACAUAUUAAAUGCAUGAAAUAUGAAAUGCAUGCUAGGCUAAUAUUUUACAAAAAUAUAUAAGUUAAGAAAGGGUCAUCUCACAAGUUUUCCAUUGCCCGGAAGCCGCUCGAACUAUCGAGAAUGUGAUCACUUCCACCGAUGCACCUAAACACAAUUAAACGCCGUUUAAUAAAACUCUACAAAAACGUUGGAAUUUGGGAAUACGGAUGGCGGAAUCGGAUUCGGCAUGUGAGAAACCUAAGGAGGAAUCUCGGGUUUUUCCCCCACACGCCACCGCACAUGGCAGCCUGUCGCCCCAACUCACCAGAAAAUCAAACAACUCCAAAAAUUCCUAAAUUUUACAAGAAUGAAGAUCUUGAUACGAGGAACAACUUUCAUACAUGUGACUAAGGCCAAUUUGGCAGGGAAAAACCCUAAUUUCCGUUGAACCAGUCGGAAACCUUAAGUUGGGUGUUUCUUGAUUCGUCCUCAAAUCGACUCUGACGCUCCAACCAAUGAUUGGCCAUUGUUCCUGACCUUUAGGGGAGUGUUUUGGUGGUGGUAAUUGAACGAAAACGUUUCACAAUUGGAGGAUCAACGCCUAUACACCUUUGGACCCAUCGAUGUUCCAUCGCUCAAUCGAGGCCUAAAUCUCGUCGGGUUUGGUUGGAAAUUGAAGGAAAAGUGGCGGGGAAAUGAUUUGGCAGUGGUGAGAGCUUUAAUUUGCUCGGAAAACACCACAAAGGCUUCGGAAAUGGACGCCGGCUGAACUGGAUCGGGGUGAAAGAAACAAGUUAAAGGAAGAAGUUUUUGAUUGGGUGUUUCCUCACCUCUCUCAUUUCCCUCCAUUAUCUCAUUUCUGAUUGGGUAGCUCCUUCCUCUCCUCUCUUCUAAUUGGCCAACACUCGCCCUCAUUUCUUUCCUUUAUUUCUUCUAUCCUCCGUCCAUAUCUGAUUUCUUUCAAUCUUGGCCACACACGUGGCAUCAACUAAUUUCUCCACCAAAAUCUGGAGCCUUCCAUAUUUAUGCUUAAAUGACCAUUUUGUCCUCAACUUCGUUCGUUAAUAACUCAUUCGUUAUAACUCCAAAUUACGAUAUGUUUGCACCCAUGCGUUCGUAACGACGAGUAAUACAAGUAUACGCCAAGAAAAUGGAUCUUACGUGACAUGACACCGCAGUCAACGAAAGUCAACACUUUGCCUCGAAGGACACUUUCGUAAAUUCACUUAUUAAAAUUAUAAAAACCGUAAAAUUGGGAACGGGUCGUUACACUUUCAAUUUUGAAUGAAACUUUGGAUUUAGUUAUAAACCUUGCUUUGUUUCUUACUGUUUGAAUGAACAACUGGUGUCAGGUCACGGUUAUCCACCCCUUCUGUACCCCAAGAGGCUAUGGAGACUUUCACCCUACCCGUGGCCACAGAAAAACAGUUCAUCUAACACUUUCAAUCUCUGAACCCACCUAGUAGGAUAAGACUUCGUUGUUGUUGUUGUAGCACUUUCAAUCUAACUAACUCUCUCUUAAUGCAAACAACCAUGGGUAGGUCAGUAGUUGGGACGAAUUACAAACUUGUAUUCCACAUGGCAUGUGCAGAGCUUAAUUUCUAGUACUGGUGAACUACAUAAAGGUGGCCAUGAAGAGUUUAAAUGUCUCUGUGAGCCUUCCCAACCCCUAAAGGGGUGGGUUGCCGUGAUAAAGUCAUUAGCUAGCCCCCCUUAAAUUGGAAAAAAAAAGAAGCUCUUAAUGCAAAGGUUUCAAGGAUUUUUUUUAGGAAGAAAAUACUAGAAUUCUUAUUGAUUUGAUUUUGAGGAAAACACAAUUUUCUUUGGAGCCUAAAAUCAAUUGUGCAAGAUUUUCACUCUCUUUUUCAAAACUUUGAAUUUGCUAGUUUUCGUCAUGUCUACUAUGAAUUGAACUUUUACAAAAUAUGCAUUAGCUCAUCUCUAUACAUAAAGCCAAAACUGUUGUGAAUAGUAUUUUUUUGGGUCACAAGCUUCACCAAAAAAUAAGUGGACAAAAAUGCCCCUCAAACAAAAAAGUUCAAAAGCAAUCCAAAAUAAUGCACCAAAUAAUACAGGAGUAUUUUCGUCAUAUAAACAGUGUUUGUUUAAUAAUUCAUUCUUUUUUUACAGUUUAUUUUUGGUACAAUAAUUUUUUUUAAUUAGUACCUCACAAAGACUAGCAAUAAUUUGAUUCAAUCAGUUGUUUAUUAAAUAUUAUUUUCUCUAUUUUUAAACACGAUAAAAACAUUUUAAGAGGUGAGUAGUGUCGGUUAUAAAAAAAGGUUUUUCACACGCGCAUAAUAAUGUGAUUAAAUUAGUUGUCAAAUGAUUGUUUUUUUUUUCUUCGAACAAACAAUAUUAUCUACACUAAGGGGAAGGGGUGGGCUUUGCCUCACAAUAGGCUAGCAAUAAUAUGAUUUAAUUAGUUGUUUAUUAAACAUUAUUUUCUCUAUUUUUAAACACGUUCAAAACAUCUUAAGAGCACGUGUAAUGCUAGUUAUAAAAAAUGUAUUUUGCACGUGCAUAAUAAUGUAAUUCGAUCAGUUGUCAAAUGAUUAUUUUUUUUCUUUUCGAACAAACGAUAUUAUCUACACUAAGGAGGAGGGGUGGGCUUAGCUUCACAUUGGGUUAGCAAUAAUGUGAUUCAAUUAGUUGUUUAUUAAAUAUUAUUUUCUUUAUUUUUAAACACGUUCAAAACAUCUUAAGAGUCGCGUACCGCCGGUAAUAAAAAAAGGUCUUUCACACGCACACAAUAAUGUAAUUCAAUCAGUUGUAUUAUUUUCUCUAUUUUAAACACUUAAAAGGCACGUAGUGCCAAUUAUAAAAAAUAAAAAAUAAAGGCAUUCGGCACGCGCAUAAUAAUGUGAUUUAAUUAGUUGUCAAAUAAUCAUUUUUUAUUUUUUUGAACGAACGAUGUUUUCUACACUAAGUGGGAGGGGUGGGCUUAGCCUCACAAUGAGCUAGCAAUAAUGUAAUUCAAUUAGUUGUUUAUCAAAUAUUAUUUUCUCUAUUCUUAAUGUAAAUUCAAUAGAAUGUAGAUGAAAAUUGAAAGACCGAUUUUAUUAUAUAGAUUCAGCUGUUUUUAUUGGUUUAUGAAUGGUUUCUUCUAGCAUGUUCGAAUAUUAUUCAUUUACUUCAAAUAUUUGACUUUUUUUUGUCAUAAAAAAAUUAUUUAAGCAAUCAAUGCAUAUAAAUACAUUUAAAACAUGUAAGACAAGCGUAGCACGCCAUGGUUCAAAAAAUGCCUUCUGCACACGUGUGAGCGCAUGCAUGAAGACUAGUUAUAGUUAUGUUGUGGUUAAUUAUAACAGUAAUAUGACUCGUUUGGAAGUGUCUUUAAAUAAUUGAAAAUGCUUUUAGUGAAAUUAAUUUUAAGUUCCAAAGCACUUUAAGUGUUUUUUUUUAAGAAGCACUAGGUAUGUGCUUCUUGCAGAAAACACUUAUAGUGCUUUUCCAAAAUCUACUUGGAUUUUUACUAAGGAUUGGUAACAAAAAUAUUUACAACAAAAGUACUUUAAGUUAUUUUAAAAGCACAUUAAAACGAGCUCAUAGAGGUAUAGUCGUGAUUUUUUUAUAUUAAUUUAGUGUUUUUAAUGAAAAAAAUAACUAUUAAAAAAUUAAGUAAAUUAAAGAAAAUCAAAAAAUAUUUAUAAUCUUACAUAAACAAAAUCGAGAUUUAGGAAUAAUAACAAAAACAAUUUAGCCCUUAAAAUACGAGAAAUUUUUCAUUAUAAUAAGAACAGGAAUGAUACAUUACAUAUUUUUAUAUAAGUGUUUUGAAAUUUUAUUUUUUAAGUUAUUAACUUUUUAACAUACAUAUCUCAUCAUUUAUAUAAUAACACAUGAUGUAUCAAUUCGUGUUCCGAUCAUAUUAAAAAAUCUCUCCUAAAAUAUUAGGUGACACAUCGGCAUCGACGGCGUGAAAAGUCAGUGAAGCAGCUUAACUGGGGAAUCAGAAGAGGGAGCGGGAGAAAAAGACAAAUUCGCACCUGAAGUGGCGGGUAACCUCUUAAAAACACUUCAAACUUCUCAAAUCUUCCAGAGGAAAAACCCUAACGUACCAAAUCCAAUUCCCACAGUGCGAUAGAAAUGGACGACGAUCGAAUUCUGGCGCGAGAGAGGCGGCAGAUGGAGGAGAUCCGACAACUCGAUCUCGAAGAACUGCAGGUCGAAGAGGUCGACGAAGAUGACUCCUCCGGCGACGACCGCGACGCCACGUAAUCAUCAUUUCCCCUCUCCUCCUUGCUAACUCUUCAGAAUUUCAUUUCAUUUGAUUAAUUUGGAAACUAGGGCUUCGAAUUCUUCUGUGACGAGUAGCUAACUCAAGUUUGAUAUUUUAUGUUUUUAUCUGUUUUUAUCAGAGUUGUUAUUUGAUCAUAUCAUUUGUUAUUCCUUUUUUCUAUAAUGACAGUAAAAUUGAGAUGAAAUUUUGUGUUUUUAUUUGAUUAUGUCACUAAUUUGUUGAAUUUGUUAUGGAAAUUUUGACAGUGGUGGUCGCGGCCCGUCUGAUGACUAUGCUUUCGAUACCUGUUUGGCUUCGUUGCAUACGUAUCUCGGUGGUAGGUAUUUGGUCUUUUGCCUGUGUUUUUAUACUGAUUUGUCCACAAUUUUCCGUUCAAAGUGUUGAUGUUUGGUUAAUUUUGAUUGAAACAGAGGUUGAAGACACUCAUCAUAGGGUGGCUUUUCUGGAUGGGGGCGCCGUCUUGAAGCUCCCUAUUUUUUAUCUCGAAGGUUCUAUCAUUUUACGUUUGAUUGUUAAGUAAUUUCAAACUUCAGUUACUCGUUUUGGUAGCUGUUGAAUUAUGUUUGGCAUUUUAGCGUAACUGCAUUAGCCAUAGGUGUAAGCCAUGCGGUGCAAAGUCGUAUAGCCAUUUUGGUAGUAAAGAAAAGUUGUUCAAGAAAAUAAUUGAAUGUAUCAUGGAAUAAAUUGCUGGUUGAGACUGAGAGACAGUUAGAUCACUAGCUUAUUGUAAAAAACAAAAGACUGUCAUGUGAAUGCUCUCUGUCAAUAAAGUUCUUCGGGAGAGAUGCUACAAGAGCCACCUCCCGUAACAUCAUUGUAUCUUAAGUUUUUAGUUGCUUAAUAAAAUUAGCUUAAAAAAUCAAUAGAAGCAAGUAACUGCUAGUCCUAAACGUUUUUGCCCUAAUGAGCAAGUUGAAUGGACUAGAAAUAGAAGAGAAUCAAAGUGAAGUCUGCUGUUGGUCUUGUUUUUGUCAUCAUUUUACUCAUAUUCUUGUAUGUUUGUAUAAAAUACUUUUUUUUUUUUUACUUAAAGAGAACUUGGUUUCUUCUACAUUCUAUAUGCAGGAGUUGUCCUGUUCCCAGAAGCAACCCUUCCCUUAAGAGUCAUUCAACCCAGUUUUGUACUUUCUAUUGAGAGAGCACUAAACCAAAUUGAUGCUCCUUGUACCAUUGGUGUGGUAGGUGAACUCCUUGUGACAACUUUUGACUUGUUUUGCCCCUGGAUUGUUACGUACUGUUUCAUUGUUCUUAACCCUGAAAUUUUGUUCAGAUUCAUGUAUUCAGAGAUAAUGGAAGAAUAAGGUUUGCAAAUGUUGGGACAACCGCAGAGGUAUAUUUAGUUUAUUCUACUGCUCAUAAGUAGAAACUGUUAUUCAACCUACGCUAUUUCUUUUAUAACUGCUGGAUUAUUCAACUUUUUAUAUUUCUCCUUUUAUAGAUUCGGCAAUAUAGACGAUUAGAGGAUGGCUCACUGAAUGUGGUAACUCGUGGCCAACAGAGAUUUCAUCUAAGACACCGUUGGAUUGAUGCGGAAGGAGCGGUUAGAAAAAUUUUAUGUUUGAGAGAGAUUGAUUGUUUGUUAUCCAUUUCAUUUUUAUUUGGUCAUAUUCAUUUAUGUAAUGUCUUAUUUGGUGUGAAAUUUUCAUUUUUCAGCCAUGUGGGGAAGUUCAAAUCAUCCAGGAAGUUAUACCAUCGAGGGUCCCAAGGGAUGCAUUCGGAGAUUUGGCACCAUUUAGUAAUCCAAGAGGCCACAAAUUCUCACUUAAACUGCCUUCAAAUGAUUCUCGUGCAAAGUCAGUUGGAUCUAUGGAUGUGGACAAUGAUUCAGAGGCAAAGUCAGAUGAAAGCUUUGAGAGUACACUGUCAUUCACUGAGAGAGAAAUCCACCAAUCUGCAAUUGGUUCCUAUUCUGGAUCUGAUACAAUGGACGAAUCAACAACUUCAAGUAGUGAUGAUGAGAAAUCGCAGUUACAAUUGCAAUCAAAAGACUCUGAUUCUUCAGCUUCAUUGCAUUCAUGCCCUGAGAUUAGUAAUGUUGAUUUGGCAAGUAGUUCCAUGUCAGACAUGCAAUCCAGCAAACAGGAAGAGCCAAAUAAAUGUUGGAGAAAUAUGGACUUAAAUCAGUUUCGUAGAGUUCCAAGAGCAUUUUGGCCCCAUUGGGUAUACCGCAUGUAUGACUCCUAUUGUCUUGCUCAAAGAGCAGCAGGUAUUUGACUUUACUUUGGGUUCACACUUGAUGUUCGAAAAGUUGUGAUCCUUAAUGUAUUAGAAGAUAUUACAACUUUAUAGGACUAGAAAUGAAAAAGGGUCAGGCACUUAGAUAGUAAGUUUUAUAUGUUAAUGUUAACUGAAAACAUUUCAUUACAGUUUCCAGAUUAAUUGUAUAAUGGAUGUAAAACAACCUUAGAAUAUUGUCUGAAUUUGGAAGAAUUACAAAGGAAAAUUGCAGAAUAUAAUUAAUGCUUGACAUUUCGAUAUUUAGUUUUAUCGGGUAAUUGGUAGAUAUGCUGUGUGAUGUCAUGUUUGUGUGUGCAUUUCUUAUUUCGGGUGUCUUAACUUUUUGUAAUGAUCUAUAGUGAAUUGUCUGGUGAUAAUGGCAGUCAUUAUGCACUGUAAACAGUUAUGUAAUGAUAUUUUUUAAAUGUUAUAGCUAAACAUUGUUGGUGCUUACUAUUUAUGUGUUCAUUAUCUUGCCAUUGUUUUUGUUGCUUAGUGUCCACUAUAAUCUGAAUUUGCAGCAGGGGAAAUGAUCUUGCUUUUGAUCCUUUGAGGAAGCAUUUAGAAUCAAUAUAAUUGUGACGUUAUUUGAUUCAUAGAAUAUGCAACAAAUUUUUAAUUAUGGUAUACGUGCUAAAAAUGUUUAGCAUUUUGCAACAUCCUUUUAAUCAGAUGAAAAAUGGAGUUUAAGGAUUCAGCUUUACAGAGUUUGUGAGUUUCUUGUAUUGCAGAGAUGUGGAAACAGAUAGUUGGGGCACCAAGCAUGGAUCGUCUUGUGAAGAAACCUGAUCUUUUGUCAUUUUUUAUCGCUAGUAAAAUUCCUGUCUCGGAAGCUACUAGGCAGGAGCUUUUGGAGAUUGAUGGCAUUUCAUAUAGGCUGCGUAGAGAAAUUGAGUUGCUUCACAGUUUUGAUCUUAUCCGGUGUAAAACAUGUCAGGUAAUGUACUUGCGUCAGAACACUGCGUGUGUGCCUGUGUGCAUGCAUUCAAAAGUAUAUACCCUUUGCCCAUUAUAUGUUUAUUGACUUUUGUGUGUGUAUCUGUGUGUACACUCAUGUUUUUGGGUACACAAUGCAGACUUUCAUUGCAAGGCGGAGUAAUAUGCUGGUGAUGUCAAGUGAAGGUCCUUUUGGUGCUUACGUGAACCCAAGUGGUUGCAUUCAUGAGAUAAUGACUCUCUACAAAGCAAAUGGCUUGGCACUUAUAGGGCCAGCAGUGAGUGAAUACAGCUGGUUUCCUGGGUAUGGACCUGUACCUUAAUAUUCUUCUGAUUCUCUGACCAAUUUACUAUCUUAAAGAACGCUAAUUUUUAUGCAUUGUCGUAAACCUUUUAGCACACUGAUUGUCCUUAACUUGGUCUUUUUCCCUUUUGAUGGGUUUUCAAAGCACAGAGUAAUAAUUUUUUUUUAGUCUGUGUGAAAUGAAAAUCAUAAGGAUUCGAAGUUAACUCACAAAACUGUUGGAAGUUCGUAAUACUAAAACAAAUAAAAACAAACGUAGAUCAUGAUCAUAAAUUAUAUGGAAUGACUGGAACUUAUCAGGUAUGAAUAAAAUCGGUAUCUAGCUGCAAUGAUAUGAUAGUGAAUUUAAGGCAUCUGUUCGGUUAUAAUAUUCACAUCUUUUAAAUCUCUGGAAAUCUGUCACUGUAUACUUGUAUAGUAAGUUACUUCAAGGUAGGUUUCAUAAAGCUUGAUCAUUAUCUCUGAUUUAAAUGUGAUUAGAAUUUUAGUACUACGAAGUUGUUAAGUUGCCAGUUUGCUCACUUUUGCAGGUAUGCGUGGACAGUAACAAACUGUGCCGGCUGCGAAACCCAAAUGGGUUGGCUAUUUACAGCCACAAAAAAGAACUUGAAGCCGAAACGUUUUUGGGGAAUUCGGAGUUCCCAAGUUUCUGAUGACCUGCACUAGUAAGUCUAAUGACCUGCACUAGUAAGUCUAAUGUAUCUCAAACAUGUAAUUGCUUGCCUGAAUUUACUGUUACCAUGUAACGAUUUUGAUUUGUAUAGCUACAUGUUCCUAUCUGCAAAUUAAUAACGUUCCUCUGAAUCUACAUAAACGAUGUACCUUGUUCUCGCCAAUAUUCUACAAUUCAUAUAUCGGAAGUGUAGUUCUUAUCUUUUUUCAGAAUUCUUUCCGGGUUAAGAAACUUUGUCGAUUUUUUGUUGAACUUCAUCAAGUUGCAAGUGUUAUAUGUUGGAUUAGUAUUUUAAUCAUUCUGAGCUGAGUCUGGCGUUAGUUUCUCUAUCGAAAACAUGUUGCAUCUAGAAUUGGAAACAACAGUGAUGCUUCUCCUUAGAAGUGAUUCUGACAAUCUCAAAAUCACUUCCGAACGAGUCCUAUGUCAAGUCAUCAAAUGGUAAGAGGUGUUUACAAUCGAUUUUUGCUCCAUUUUAUGGCAGAAAAAUCAAUAUAAUCUUCCUAAAUUGGAAGAAAAAAUAACCAAAACUUGGCAAGUUCUAGUGGAAAUAAAGCUAGGAACAAAAGUGCCCUCCUACCAACAAAACAACCAAAUGAAUUCAAAUUACUAGUGUUAAAAAAAAUGGUGGAUCGUAGAAGUUGCAGACCACGAAACAGGCGGAAUUCAACGGUAACUUCUGUAGCGCGGGCUGUACAUGCAGCUCUCUGCAUACUUCACGAGAUCUUUUGGUCGAGGAAGAUUAGAAGCCAGACCUGAAACCAAAUCGAAAACACGAACUUUAGUAAGAUGUGUUACAGUACAGUACUUGUUACGAACACAGAAAGAAACUUACCGAGUUCAUAGACCUUAGCAGCGACCUUAGCUGCAAUGUUGGCUGAUAUCUUUCUGAUGUUGGUAAAUGGCGGGUAGAUCAUUCCUUUGGCGUAGUGUUCCUCGGAAACUUGCGUAGCCAGAGCUUCAGCUGUCACGAAAUCAAAUGAUUUAGAGGAUUUUCGCAGAUAACAAAGAGAAUCGGUGUUCAUUUGAAGGUUAUCGUUUGUGUACUUACAGGCUGCCAAAAGCAUGUCAUCGUGUACACGAAUGGCACCAGCCAUGAUCAAUCCCAGGCCAAAACCGGGGAAUAUGUACGCGUUGUUGGCCUGAAUGAUGUGGUUAGGCGAAAGUAAGAUCCUCGUGUCUUCAAAUGAAGAGAGGUAUUCAUAACAAGAAGAGUUGCUUGAGUUGGAAGGUACAAACCUGGCCAGGCACUAGGAGUUUGUUCUCGUAUUUGACAGGAUCAAAUGGACUUCCACUGCCAAAGAUUGCUCGACCCUUCAUAUGAGAAAAACGAUGUGAUUGUUAAAUAGGGUUCUGCUAGUUUAUCUAGCCGCGUUAUAACCCCAACGAAAAUUAGAGAAAAGAGGAAGAGGAAGAAAGAAAGAGCAGAUUGAUUACCUUUGUCCACGCGUAAGCUUCUUCAGCAGUACACUCAGCUUGCGAUGUUGGGUUGGAAAGAGCAAGGAUAAGUGGUUUCUGCAGUGGCCAAACACCUGAUCAAUGUCACUUAUGUUGAUCAUUGUAUAUGUGUGUGUGUGUGUGUGUGUGUGUGUGUGUGUGUGUGUGUGUGUGUGUGGUGUGUGUGUGUGUGUGUGUGUGUGUUAGAGAGAGAGAGAGAGAGAGAGAGAGAGAGAGAGAGAGAGAGAGAGAGGGAGGGAGGGAGGGAGAGACCGAACCUUAUUCAAGGACGCCAUGGUCUCAACGACCUCCUUCGUGAACUGUUUUCCCACACCAGAUGUUCCUAUCAGCACUGUUGGCUUGAUUGCCUGAUGAAAAACGGAUGUGUAAGAUAACAGGAGGAGAUAUUGUUGAAAGACAUUGUUAUGUUCAAGUAUAAUUUCACACCUUCACGGCAUCUACAAGUUCCUUUAUUGGUUCAUGAUCAUGAGCCCAGGGCUGCUUAAAGUGUUGAAGUGAUCCUAGACGAGAUUUAACAAUCAGUCCCUGUAAAGAAUGUAAUGCCUCUAUUAUAUCGAAAAACAAAGUAAAAGAAACUGGAAAAGAGGAAGAUAAACUGAUCAAAUGCAUAUGUCGAAAGGAAGAAUUUGAUCAGAUUUUAAGUACCUUAGAAUCCACAAGCCAAAUCUUCUUGCGAGCUUUUUCCAAUGGAGCGCCGGUCUGCCAAGAUGAAUACACAUCGUUAAUCACAAAUGCUUAGCUGAAGAAAGCAUUUACGGGGAGAACAGGCGGUUUGAGGUAAGCAAGUUUAUACCUUUUUUGAUAUCUCAAGAGCUAUAAGCUCUGCUAUUCCGGUUCCAGCCUUCAGUAGCCAAGAAGCAAAGUCAAAAACAUCCAAAAACCAGUGCAUUUAUGAAUAUACAGACUGAAUAGUUUUCAAGCCUCACCUCUCCAGCACCCAGAAAUAAGAAAGUAUGGUCAGCUAAUGUUCCACCAAGUAAUUUCAAGGAAGCUAUGAGCCCUGCUAAGACCACAGAUGCCGUUCCCUGAACCAAUUUGAAAGAAAAUAGUUGUAAACAUCCAGGGAAGCAAGAUUGCUAGCUGUGAAACGAAAGUAUAAUAUGUUACCUGAAUGUCAUCAUUGAAGACAAGGUGAGUCUUGCUGUAUUUAGCCAGCAGUUCAAAUGCAUUGUGGUUUGCAAAAUCUUCGAACUAAAGAAGGAACAAGAAAGAAAUAGCAAACGAUAAUCUGGUUAUUCAGAGGAUGAUGAAACCACGUGGACAGAAGAGUUUCAUAAACAUAAUUACAUGAAGGAUAGGAAAGACUUCUACCUGAACUAGGACUUUCUCCCCAUAAUUCUGCUUAACUGCAGUCAUGAAUUCUUCGAGAAGCUCCGCAUAUUCCUAAAUCACAAAGGUAAAAGACCACCUCAAUUUUACAGAAACCAUAUAUUUCACAUAGUUAAAACUUCUUAAAACGACGGUGACUUAUAAAGUAAAACACAAGACCAAUGUGAAAAAAUAUUUAACCUGUCCAGUUGCUCUCCUUUGCUUAAUCCCAAUGUAAAACUCAUCAUUCAGCAACUUCUCGUUGUUUGUUCCAACAUCGAUGGUUAUAGGCAAGCACUGUAAACAAAAACACAGAUUGUAAAAUUUCUGAAUGUACAGGCAAAAUUUUCUGUUGCUCUUGUUGUUGAACUCAAAGAAAGGGGGCAACAGUUGGGGAAAUGCUUACCGCUGAAGGAGGAACUCCUCCGAGUGCAGUAUACAAAGAGAGCUUUCCAACAGGAAUCCCCAUGCCCUGAAAAUUUCGGAACAUUCAUGUUAAUUAAGGUGACAAUGAUUCAACCAAAGACAAAGGCAACAAUUCCAAAUGAAAUAUGUAAUGGAUUUAAACGAAACAGUUCAAUACUGUAUAUGUACAUAACAACUGAGCAGAAUCUGCAACAAAUACCUGGCAGCCAAGAUCACCUAGCCCCAAAAUACGCUCCCCAUCAGUCACGACAAUAACUUGAAUACCCCUGUCCGGCCAGUUCUUUAGUACUUCAAGGAUCUUUCCCCUGAAAAGUUCGCCAAUCAAUAUAUGUUUGAUACAUAUUCAACUAAACAUGAGAGAUUUAGUAAAAACGUUAUCAGAUAGCCGUACUUCUCUUUCAAACUGAUGUAAAGACCCUGAGGAUGCCUGAAAAUGCUCCCAUAUUUUUGGCAAGCCUCACCAACUGUUGGCGUGUACACAACAGGAAGCAGUUCCUCAACAUUGUCAAUCAAAAGCUUAUAAAACAGCCCUUCAUUUCUCUCCUGCACAAUAAAACAAGAACGCCACCAGAAAAGAAGCAAAAAUUAGUGACGACGACCCUGUUUGAUAACAACUGUGAUUCACAAUGAUCUCAAGCACUGAUAUAGAGCCUGUUCAAGCAGACAAUUACCUGAAGAUCCAUCAUGGCAAUGUACCUAUGCAACGGAACUUCAUAUUGGCGAAGAUUCUGCAUCAACUUCUUCUCCUGGGUCAUUAUGGCACAAAGUUUAGCCGAAAUUUGAACAACAAAAUGAAUCGCUGAAAAUGAAACGGAAGGACGAAAAUGAACUUUGAGGUAAGGUCAUUUUGCAACCUGAAGCUCCUGGGUUAGGACGGUUGGAGGCAGAAGGCCGCGCAAGUAAUGUGCAUCCCUCUCCUUCUCGGUGAAGGCAAGACCUUUGUUGUAGUGUGGAUCACGCAGCAAUGUGUAACCACUGCAACACGUUUACAUUGCAGAAGAUGCUUUAAAAAACAAACCAAAUUCUGCAUAUUUAACUUUCUGCGAGAUUAUUCAUUAACAAGAAACAUGGUUUUCAGCAGGUAUGGUAUAAAAAGAGAAAAGAAGCCUAAGGCUUAGUAAAACCGUAAAUAUACACUUAAAAACAUGGUUUCCGACCCUAAAAACUAAAAAUGAAAUGGUUAUCAAACGACCGCAAUAUCAAAAUAUCUCGAAUAACCAAACAUGAAAAAUUGAGAAUGUGGAUAAUUUUCUCACGAAAAUGAGCAUCAACAAACACAAAUUUCAAGGGAAAAAUAGGAAAAUUUAAAGAAAGUUAAAAUAAAUUUAAAACUUGCAUAAAAGGACAAUAAUAAGAGUUAUAAACUCAGUUGCAGACAAAAAUUCGUAACAAGGAAAAAGAAGCUCUGUGUGUGUUACCUGGCAACAGAGGCAGUCCAUGGUGUGAGAACCUGAUCCUCGGUGGCACAAUCCUCACCGUACACGUCCACAAUACCUCCACCAAAGCCAGCCUUACUUUCAACAUCCACCACUGAGUGGCCACCACCGUUGCUUAUCUCCUCCACUACGCUCCCCAUCAAAGCUCCGACCUUUUUUCGAUCUCCAAAUCCAAAACCCACCACUAUUCUCCUCUGCAAAUCACAAUGCAGUCCUCCAAUGAAACCCAGAAAACAAAAACAACCCAGAAACGAAAACAGGCAAAAGCUGCAAACUUUUUUGUGUUUUGCAAAACAAGAAACCUCCCACGUUUUAUAGGGGAAUAAAAGGUGGGAUUUCGGUUUGAACAAGACUUCCCUGCUGAAAUGUUCAGCAUGGGAAGUUAAUUCCUUUGGGUUUUACUUUCCUUCCUUUUUGGGAUUACAGAGGGUUUUAAAAACAAGGUAGGUUUCAUUGUCAAAGAGAACAGAACUACCCACGUGUGCUACAUUAUUCAACUAAAACAUGAAAACAAAUUAAAAAAAUUAAAAAAUUAAAAAAUACAACAUAUUUUUGAUAAUUUUUUAAAGGGUGUGCAUACCAGAACAUUAUGUCUCCUCCAGACUUCUUUGGCAGAGAAAAAUGAAUUCAUUUCUUCCUAAUCAAUCCUUUUUCUGAUAAAAAAAAUACGUCAAAGAGUAUAACUUGAGACAACGCCUAAAAUUCAUUCAUUGCUCAAUGCUCUUUAGACAAUGAUGUAAUGAUUUAUUUUGGUAACACGUUCUUUACUACCAAUGUUUUUUUUUAUAUAUAAUGAUACAGUCUAUUUUAAUUAAACACUACACAAGUAGAUACUACACAGUAACAUAACACCUACAAAAUACUUAAUAAAUCAUCAACCAAAAAUGCCCCGAUCACUAUCGACAAAAUGAUUUUUUACGUCAUGUUUGUUGAUACGUAAUUUGAUCAACUACUAAUUAAGGGUUUUGUUAUGCGCUUGUUGGUGACUUUCAUUCGUUGAUGUGAACUACAAUUCCACAAUCUUAAUGAACAAGAGUCACUUUUACACAUAACUUGUUUGUCACAAGCACUCAUUCAAUUAUUAAUUCCCAAUAUACAUUAUUAUUCAUUUUGAUUGUGCUUCCAAAAGCAAAAAUGCAUUAUUUUGAUUGAUAUUUUCCAUUUCAUUCCACAUACUAUCAAUUAUGCAUCUUCAAUGUUGCUGGAACCGAACGAUAUCCCACCAACCUUUUUGGCUUUCACAUGGCCUUAAAUAUGACCUAACCACUUAAUUAGACGUGAGAUGAUGUUUUCUUAAAAACUCAUAUGUUACAUGUGCUAAGAAGAUAUUUGCCACGAUCAAUUGAGCCUGAAUGCGUGAACGUUUUCUAACUACAAAUGCAUAUGUUUUUCAUAUAAAGUUUGCAACUCACAUACAUCAACGGUAAAAACAAUUGCUCAUGCGUGCGACUAUAUUGUCACUUUCUUCAUUCCCCAGCCUGCCCUACCACUCUACCAACAUGCUCAUCGCUUUAUCUUUCAUAAUUUGAUUUGAUCACCACAUGCCAUUAUAUUCUCCGCGUAAUAUCUACUUUUUUCUACCUUUUUCAUUUUCAAACAAGGUCUAGAAUCAUUCAACAAAAGGAAAAAACAUUAAUUAUCGAAAUUGACCAAUUCUUGGUAGUAGUUACUUUAUUCCUCUUUAAAAGAAAGGGAAAAAUAUUUUUGUGCAGUUAUUUGUGGGUAUACUACAAAAGAAUCUCUCGUAUUUAUACAAAGAGUUUUUUUAUGUGUAUCGAGAACACUCGUCAUCAUGUAUUACUUCUAAUUAUUACAAUGUAGUCAUGUUAGGAAGAUUAAUUUGUAAACUAAAUAUAUGCAAAUUAAAUGAUAGAUCAUCAAUAAGAAAUAAACAUAUUAAUUAACACUUAAAUAAUAAUUUAAUCUUCUAAUCUAUACAUUUAGCCUCUCUAGUAUACCCUACGAAAUAUUGCCAUAAAAUAAGUACACAAUAUAGUUUGAGUUAAAAGAACAAUAUCAUCACGUGUCGUCGUGUCGGUCUUCUGGUUAGGUCUAAAAUUCUCUGGUGCAAGUGGUGGAUGUGUUAUGCAUGUAUAAGCAUUGGCAAUAGCGUUCUGACUUCCUAAGGUGGUGACUGGUGAAGCUAUUAUCUGUUUGAAAUCCACUCAACCUGUUGUGCCUAUGGAGAAAUAUUUCAUUAUACGGGAACAACGUCUGGUAUACCUGGAUAAUAUCAUUUGGUACAUCAAGUAUUAUAGUAUAAUUAGUUAAAAAAAUUUCAAAAAUUUUCAAGCAGUUGUAUCCUUAUACUUGAUAUACCAGAUCGUACUUCCAAUACAUUGAAAAUUCUCUCGUGCCUUUGUAUCAAAGCUCGUAAUGGUGAACGAUCCGCACUUUCAUCUGUGGGAAUUUGACCGAGACCUGUCAAACAAGUUUUCUUUUCCUACUUUUGGAGAUUUUAUUUUUAUUUGUAGAGAAUAAAAUCCUAACUAUUUACGUAAGUAAUUUGUUUAGUUGUUUUGAUUAUAUGUCAUGCUCAUGCAAUUAUUCUCAAAUCAGUUAUAUCAUUAAAUAGGAGUUAGCUUGCAAAUCACAUUUGAGUCAUCUCAUUUAACAACUUAUUGUGUAGUAUUUGUUUAGUGGUGUGUAAGAAAACAAGUAUUUUAACAUGGGAUGUGCGGACCUUUUUACUUCUUAUACACCAUUUGUUGAUUUCUGUUUGUUGAUCUUCUUCAAUUCAUCUGAUCCGACGGCCGAAAUCCAAAAAGGUAUGGAAGAAGUAAAAAGGGGUGUGUGGAUAUUACACCCCUUUUACAUAAGGCAUUGUUUGGUGUUUAUGAUUCACUGAAAAUUGUUAACUCACUAGAUUCGAUAAAUGUUGAAUGAAUAAAUAUAUGCUACUUUGCAAUAUUUGUAAAUGUUGAAAUUAGACAAUAGAUUAAUUAUAAAUUAAACAAAGUUUAUCCUUCCAGUUCUACUAUUUUUGUUGGAAUAAGUUUUCUUUAUAGCUAAUCCAUCUUCUACUUUAUUUGGACAAAAUAUACAAUUGAGUAUUUAUAUUUUUGGUUCGGUAUUUAAUGAAUUAAGUGAUUUAUUCAAUUGAAGCUAAUCAUGGACAUCAAAAUAUGCGUAAGCUUAUUAUACACCGCGUGAUUAAUGAUUAUGAUACGGUCUGAUCCAAAAUCUACUGGACUUGAGAACCCCAAGUUGGUGCGUAAGAUCACCGGCAAGCAAGCAUGCAUGUUUCUAUCCGUAUGAACAUGUCGAAAAUCCUUUUAUUUUCAAAUAUGCCGACUCCCAACACAUACAGAUAAGACUACGACCUACUAUUUUUGGGCCACUCAUGACUUCAUGGUAAGAAAAAUUAUGCUACCAUUCUCAAGGGUUUGAAUCUGUUCCAAAAAGUCUUCAAGAGCCUAGACUACCCAGUCUGAAACCUUUGUACAUUUGUAUACAUUUGUAUUUAUCUUUUGACGGCACCUCAUGAAAGAAUGCUCUGUUUGUGACCCCAGAAAAUUCGAGCAUUGUUGUAAAAUAAUGGAUGUGUUUGCCCACAUGUAUAUAGUAAAGGUUCACAAGUUAAAUAGUGAACUUUUUGUUUGCUUUCAUAAUGUUUGCUUUAUAAAUAGAGCAUUACAAGUGAUAAAAGGAAUAAGAGAUGAAGAAGUGAGAAGCCACAAGGCUCACGUCAGAGAGGGAGAAAAGAGAGAGGAGAAUUAUCUUUGUAAUCUUAUUACUUUAGAUUAUAAAUAAAAGCACUGCUGCUACCCCGAUGACGUACUCUAGUCACACUGACUGUAGAGGAACCUCGUAAAUUUUGUGUCUUGUUUAUUUAUUCCACUGCACACACCGUCGAUUUUACAACAAGCAUUGGUUUUUGAAUUGUAGUCGAAUUGACGGUUUAGUCCUUAAAUUAAAAGUCAGUGAGUAUUGGUCAUUGAAUUUGUUGCAAUGUGAAGCAAUAAUCCUUUUGAAUAACUCCAUCAAAAGUUUCAUCAUUUAUUUGUCCCUUUGAACCAUUUAUUUUAGUUGAAAACGGUGUUACCAACAUAAUUAAUCAUUACUUAUCAUUGUGGCAAGUUCAGAAUCAAUUUUUAAUUUAUAAAUGCAAAAUUUUAACCUUAAAUUAAAAAUCAGUGAGUAUUAGUCAUUGAAUUUGUUGCGAUGUGAAGCAGUAAUCCUUUUGAAUAACUCCAUCAAAAGUUUCAUCAUUUAUUUGUCCCUUUGAACCAUUUAUUUUAGUUGAAAACGGUGUUACCAACAUAAUUAAUCAUUACUUAUCAUUGUGGCAAGUUCAGAAUCAAUUUUUAGUUUAUAAAUGCAAAAUUUUAAUCAAGCUAAAAUUUAGAAACCAACGCUCCAACUUUCUCGUAGACUCCAACAAAAUCAACUUUAAAUUAAUUUUGGCAUCGCACCUAACACCAAACACAGGCACAUGCCUGUGUGAAUACGAAUGGUAGCCACGUCCUUGAAUUAGUUCAUACUUGCUUCCUUACUUUCAUUCAUCAUGGUUGAUGCAUGUGGAUGCGUGAUGAUUUUGUUGGACCCCCUAAAAAGAGUUGCUACCUAACAUUCGAAACUGCCUACAAAUUAAGCUAUGUCAAGUUCAAUUAUUAUGAAUUCGUCCUCUCCUAUAAGCCCCAAGUGUUGGUCAAGUCAAACGACAUAGAGUUAAUUUUUUUUUUUUUUUACUAAAUUUGAAACACAGUAAAUUAAAAAAAUAAUCAUAUUCACCGAGAGUGAAUGAACAAAAAAAAAAAAAAAAAACAUCCAUUUAGACAAUUCAUGACUUAUUACUACAUUUAUAAUUUAAGACUAAAACCCUCGUUUAUUGACAAAAGUCUAAGUAAUUAUUAUAUGUAAUUUUUAUGUUACAUGUGCGUCACUAGUCAAUAUUAACAUGUAAUCAAGUAUCAACAUUGUACAACAGUUAAUGGUAAGAGUCCUGCUCUUUUAAGACCAUCACCAACCCUUGGAGUAAAAUUUAAAAUUUUUAACCCAUAAAAUUUAGGUUUUAACCCAGAAACAGUUUUUUUACUCCAACUAUUUUGGCCUAAAAUUUUAACACAUAUUAUUAAAAAAUGAAUUUAGACUUUUUUUAAAAUUAAAUUUAAAAAAAAAUUAUGUAGACUAUCAUAACUUAAUUUUAUGAACAUUUUAACAUAAAAAUAUUUAAAUUCUGUUAAAUAUUGGAAAAUCACUAAAUGGACACAUGAAACUCAUGAAACACUAUGGAAAAAGCACUAAAUCAGAUCAUUAAUAAACCAUGGUUAAAGGUGAGGUCUUUGGAAGAUGGUAGAAAGAAAAAUUGGAAGAAUUGUAAGAGAAAAGUGAGUUUUGUGUGGAUGUUUGAACAAAUACAUAGGUAUUUAUAGAGUUUUUGGGUGAAUUUUGAGUUAAAUAAUUUUUUUAAAAUUAUUUUAGCCAUUGGAUUUAAAUUUGGGAUGUUAGAUCUUUUUUUUACCAUUGGAUUUGAUCAUAUUUGAUCUCAACCGUUGGAUACUAUAAAUUUAUAAAUAUAAAACAAAAAAAAUUAAAAAAUUGAACGUGAACCAUUGGAUCAAUCAACGGCCCAUUUAAAUUGUGGUCGUGGAUUAGAAAAAGGAGUCGUUAGGCUCAUUAAGAACUUCAGACAGCCAGGGGACAAGCCCACAUUGGUGGGGUUCGGUUGCUGCAAAGCAAGCACGUGCAAGGGUGUGCGUGGGUGAGGGCUGGGUAUUUGGGCUUCACCUUCCGUUUUCCAUUCUAACAUGUGGGGCACACCACUAACCCAACCCACAUUUUUGGCCGGAAUUUGGUCAAAUUUGAGCUUCUAACCCAUAGCCCCAAAUUGGCCCAAGGGUUGGAAGGAAAUUGUUGGGAAAGGGGGGGGGGGGGAAUAUAUGGUAAAUUUUAGAACUUACUCCAAGGGUUUGAGUUGGUCUAAGUUCCUCAUUUUGAGGACCUAUGAGGACCAAAUGUAUAUUACUCACAAGGUUAUACUAAUUUAUAUCUGAAGGCUUAAAAUGUUUGACAACAAAAUAAAGCAAAACAAUAAAAAUGUGUUUUCUAAUGGUUCAUUAAUUUUAAGUUAGUUAUAUUUAUUAAGUUGUCAAAUAUUUUAAGCAUUUUGAUAUAAACUAAUAUAAUCUUGUUUCCAGUUUCAAAAUAAUAUUGUUUUUACACAUUGAUCAUCCCCUUUCUUCCAUCACCUUUCUUUGUCCAUUCUUAUCUCGAAGACACAAAGUGAAAAAAAAAAAACAAAAAACAAAAAAGGGUUGUCACUUAGUAUUAUGGAAUAUUAGUAUUCAUCUUCAUUUGUAAGUGAAAUGUAUUAGGUUUGAUUAUUGCUAAAGAUGAAUUUGAACCAGAUUUAGCACACUUUUCAUCUCAUAAUGUAGAAAAUAUCGUUUAUUAAAAAAAUAAAAAGAGCCCGAAAAUACGAAACCUAUGAUAUGGACAAGGGUCAUAACACCCUUUUCUGGGCCGACGAUUGAGUUGGGCCUGUUAAAAACAUUUUUCAUUGUGAUCGAAAUACAAAUGUUACACAAUGUGUGUUUUUAUAUAAAUGAUGAAAAAUUUUAUUUUUUUAAAUUAUUAACUUUUAAUAUAUAUAUAUAUAUAUAUAUAUAUCUCAUUAUUAGCCAAAGCUUCUGAGGUGUUCUUUUGAGAUUACUGCUUGCUUAAUGUGAUUAGCAUUGCAUUAGCGUCUGUUUAGGAUUACUUGAAUUCGCAAUUUGGGAAUAUCUGAUGAACUUACUUUGGUUUUUCGCUCCCACAAUUGCGAACAGACAGAAACAAUAGAUAAAUUGAUGAGGGAAUUGGGAGAGCAAGUGCUGGAACGAGAGUUCUGUCAAAGUACUGCAAAAAGUUUUAAGUGAGUUUCAUUUCAUGCUUAGACUUUCGUAUCGUAUUUGAUUGAAUCCCUUUCCGAAUGAUCCUUUCGGACUCUAACUCCUGCUUUGGUGUUUUAUGCCUGUGCAGUCGCUCUGCAGCUCGUGCUGGGAAACCUAUUGUAAAAUGGACUGAGGUUAACACUUUCUAUCUCUUUUUCUGCUUUUCAUUUGAUUGCACUUGUUACCGUUGUUUUUACCAUAAGGCGGCAUUGAUUAAUCGUGUCUAAAGCGCUUCUCUGUUGGAAUGGUCCUAGUUGCAAAGCUGGUUCGAGAAUAGGGUGAAAGAGUCACCAAACAUAUGCAGAAAUUACCCUUCGAAUAAGGCACACAAAAGUUCCGAAAUACCUAAAGGUGCUUCUCACAAGUACUUGUUGCUUUAUGUCUAGGAUAUAGUACUAUACAAGCUUCUAAGGCUUUUAAAAACUGGUUAAAUCAGAUUAUUGUGUGUUAAACUGUUGUACCCAAAAAUAGAAAAAUAGUGAAUGACAGACCAACCGAGAUAAUCGAAGCUUUCAACUGUGUUCGUAGUUGUUUAGAGAUUUUUUCUUUCUGUUAUACGCUAGCCACUACAUGUCAUUAUAACAAGUUAUUUGAACUGUUUCUGUAUCACAUAAUAUCAUUCGUAAAUCAUUUUACCUAAAAUUUUGCAAAUUUCCGUUGAAAGCAGAAGAAAAGAUCCCAGACGUAUCAGAGUUGGAAUUUGAGGCAAGGUCAUCAAAAGAUGGGGCAUGGUUAGUAUACAAACAAGGAUGACUUUGUCAUUGAAUUUCUCGGUCCCUUUACGUGUGUUCUUGUUGGAUGCAUCAGUUUGUCAUUAUUGCUAUCUUGUUGGUUAUUAGCAUUUUUUUUUGUGGCAAAACCUUGGGCCUAAUUUGGUGAGCCUAGCAAACUGGGCGUUUGUUACAAAUCAUGAAAAGAUUGAUACGAGGCAUUUGGUGAAGGAUGUAAGGAAAUAGAUCCUCAUGUACACCUGACUAUCCUGUGAAUAGUACAAGUUUAAUGCCUCGAUCGAUGUCUAUUCAGCCACCUCAUUGUUAAGCCAAGAGAUAGGACAGAGUUUGAAAGUAUAAUGAAAACUAAAAUAUAGUUUCAAUGUUUGAUUUUUCCUAUAUAUUUUGAUAGCAACGAUCUUCAACUGUGUGCGCCGUUGAAUUUAUGUUCUGAUUGCCUUGAUUGUAAUUCUUAUGGAAAAAGCUUUUUCUUCAACUGAGUUGAGGUCCAGGCUUCACCUUGAAAGUCAUUCUUCAAGUGUAAAAUAGUUCUCCAAACUUUAUUCUUUCACUCAAUUUUCAUCUCUGGUUCGUUAUGCUAUAUCUGUACGCUUUAACUGACCGUGAACCUCUACAUGUUUUGAGACCAUGAGACGCUUUCUAUCUUUUUCCUCCAAUCCUAUCAGCCCUUCUCCUCUCUCUCCCCGACUCUCUUAUAUUGCUUUGCAGGUAUGAUGUUGAAAAGUUCCUUGCUCACAGAUUCCUUAGAACGGGCGAAACUGUAAGUAUUUAAAUCAUAACUUAUUGCUCUAUCCGUGAAUAUACUGCUGAUCGACACGUUGGUCUGAACUUUGAGUACGUAUAAGUCUAACCGGAGAGUUGGAGACCACUUGGAUUUGGAAAACAGCGUACAAAAACCAGACCUAGCCAUACAUAAGUUCAUUAAGUGACCUUUGUCAUUUAUUAAAGGAAGUUCGUGUCAGAUUUGUCGGAUUCAGAGCCGAAGAGGAUGAGUGGGUUAAUGUGAAAAAAGCAGUGCGGGAGCGCUCCGUGCCACUGGAGCAUUCAGAAUGUCGUACAUUGAAGGUUGGAGAUCAUGUCCUCUGCAUCCUGGUAAUUCCAAAGUUGUAGCAUAUAUUUUGGUGUAAAUUAACCGUUAGAUCUUUCAAGUUGGUAGCCUCUUACAUUUUAGUCGUUUCGUUAAUUACUAGGAGAGGAGAGAUGAAGCAAUCUACUACGAUUCCCAUAUUUACAGAUAUCCAAAGGAAAAUGCACGAUAUAAGGGGCCGCCGGUGUCUUCACAAUCCGGUAUAAUCCCGACAACUGCAAGGCGAGUAUUGCUAAUCCUUUUUAUUUCCCUUUUUCGAUUCAGUCUCGAGCUACUUAACCGUUGAUCUGAUGAUGUUUAAUGUCCUCCAGGAACGAGUCCGUUUGAGGAGAUUGUGUCGUCGCCCAAAACUUUAGAUGCUGCAUGCGUUUUCUCAAGUUGAUUCACUCAACGCCGGCUCAGUUUUGUCUACCUUUUUUGUACUCGAGCUGUGUGAGGGCAAGAGAGACAAGGCAUCCUGGAUUGUCGAUAUACGGCAAUCUAUGCCGCUUGUGGAUUUGGAUCAUCGGAAGUUCCAUUUGUUGGUACGUGUGCGAGUCUACACAGUAUAGACUAGGGUUCUACAUGUAUGAUCACAGGUAUAGAAGACGAUCAUUGCAUGUCUCGCAGUUCGUAAAAUGCUUUUGCAUGGAAGUGGUCUUAUCUUUUAGGGUAAAUUGCCAUUUGAUCCCUUGAAUUAUUAAUCCAGUUGAAAUUGACCUCCUGGAUUAUUUUUUUGGUAAAUUAAUUCCCUGAACUAUUUGAAACUAGACGAUUAACCUUUUGUUGAUAGAAUUUUAUCCACUAUUUCGUCAAAUUCAAGGGCAAACUAGUUUUCCAUCAUGAAUUUUUGAUUGUCAACCAUAACCAUCAAUAAAUUUAGGGAGUUUUAACAAAAACCUGCAAUAUUGUUUACUUUAACGAAAAAUUACAUUUUUACACUAAAAAGUCAAACUUAAUACUAUUAACUUUACUUUUUAUUUUGUCCUUAUCGUUAAAACUUAAAGUUUUAAAAUCAUUUUCAUUAAUUUCCCUAUAAAAUUAUGACAUGAAUACAAAAUAAUGUGUAAUGACAAUAUGAUUUGAUCCGUUAUUAUGCUAUAUAUUUUACACAUUAUUUUAUGUUCGUGUGUUACAAUUUUAUUGAUGAUUACCAUUGACAAUUAAGAAUUGAUAAUGAAAUGACUAAUUUUCUCUUGCAUUUGACGGAAUGGUGGACGAAAUUUAAUGGCAAGGGGUUAAUUGACUGAUUUUAAAUAGUUUAGAAGUUAAUUUACCAAAAAUAAAAUAAAAUUCAAAGAUCAAUUUCGAUUGGGGUAAUAGUUCAGGUGGUUAAACCGCAAUUUACCCUAUCAUUUAUUAUUGAAUUUUCAUUCGGGGAAAGCAAAAAUAAGCGUACAUAGAAUGGAUUUCUAGCAACAAAGCCAUCAAUGCAGUGUCAUGCAUGGAAUGUAAAAAGCUUAUGAGACGGUAUAUGCUGCAAAAAUAGGUUUUAUGACGGCUUUUAGAACUUUGAAAAUUCAUAUAUUUAAAAAGAUGACAUCAAAUACUGCAAUUCUUCACUUUGACAGUGGUAAAUUCAACCUAGAUGCCUCAAGUUCAGCAUGGAUAUAUCAUCAUCUGAAAAGGCGAAAUCAUGACAUGGCGGAAAUUAGUAUGAUCGAUCAGUUGAAACCAGAAAAAUCAGCACCACAAUGCCAUGGCUAAGAUCACUUUAAAUCUGCAUCUGAAAAGGAAACCAAAUGCUUGGAGUUGAAAGGAAGGCUGUAUCUGUAUUCUGUAUGGGUGAAGCACAUUUUUCUUAUAGAUUCGCAUGCACAUUGGAAAUAAUAACAUAUAUGAUUUAUCAACAAGAUUCAUUGUUUUUAUGGUCUAAACACGAGAUGCAUUGUUGAAAGCAUGUUUUUAGAGUUUGCGUACCACUAAACUCAAUGACUACAACUACCCAUUACAGCUUCCGAACAAAGCCAAGGCUCUUCAUUCUUUACCUCUUUAUUUCCCUAAAAAAGGACCAAUGUUUUUUGGCAUAAGCAAACGCAGUCAUGGUGCAACACUCAUUUUUCUGGCUCUUAAUCUGCCUGUUACGUUUAACUACUUUCCUUCUAGCACCUACUAUUAUUAAGUUUCCCAAGCUGUACCAGUAACCGACUUACAAGCUCAUAUAUGCAACUAGACUGAACUGCAGCAAAAUGAUGCAGUCACACAAGACAAAAAGCAGUAUGCAAUUAGCGUUUAACAAUAGUUACCAGGGCAGGGCGAGGGUUGGGUGUUGGGAAGUUAUUUAAAGAAAGAUGGCUUACCUUGUGUUUGAAAACUCGCACUUCCACCAAUAGCAGCAUCACGGAUGGACAUGCAAGAGCCACCAAGUCCUGCAUGCAGCUCAACUUAAAUCUAUUAGAAACACGAAGAGAACAGUUUACAUCAUCUAAAACAAUUAAAAAAGGUCGUACCCAGUGCACAAGGCUCCCGCUUUACGCAGGGUCUGGAAGAGGUGAAUGUCGGCUAACUUGAGUACACACAGAAAUAUGAGUGAUGUGCAACAGAUGAUGAAUGCCAAUCGAUAAUGAGAUCUUUUAGCUACAAAAUCAGACACAGAAAAUUACAAUAUAAACUGCAAGAGAGAGAUUUGCACCAAAUUUCCUUCGGACAUACAACUUACCAAUGGGCAAGAAGGCUCCAUCUUUCUCGGCAACAUAGAUCUUAUUUAUACACUGGUGCAAUAUAACCUCCCCUACAGCAGUUCUGCUUCAAAGACCUUGACCAAAAUUAUCAACUAUUUAACCUGUAAUACUCAUUUAUUCACUGGAAAUCUAGCAUGGUCAUAGAGCGCAACUCCUAUGUGUAAUGUACAGAUUAAGAAAAGGUCAGAAUACAUAAUCAGCAGUUAUAAAUAAAAGGACACAAGCAUUUGGAAAGUGAUCGAGAUUAACUAAAAAAUAAAUAAGAUGACCACGUAACCAUUACACACUGAUACUUUGAAGUAUACAACUGCUUUCUGUUUAAUGGUCAAAUUGGGACAUCUCAUCUUAAAGUCCACAAAGAAGCUCACCCCUUCAAAAUAAAAUAAAAAAAUAAAAAAAAUAAAAAAAUAAAAAAAUAAUAAAAUAAUAAAAUAAUAAAAUAAUAAAAUAAUAAAAUCUAAAAAAAAAAAAAAACUAAGCACAAACUGAAGGGAUAAGAAUGUCCAAAAUCACAGCUAGUCAUAGAUGUACGUUCCCAUAUUCUAUCGAUAAUCAAAACAUGACUUGUGCACAUUCCUUCAACCCAAGGAAUUAUUGCUCGGCAAUAUACAAACUUUUGCACUAUGGGAGCGAAUAAACAACUUCCCAGUGAGAUAUAUAAUAAGGUCAAUAGAUUGAAGACAGUGCACAUGUACUUGUAACAGAUGCUAUGUUAUGGUGGCAAUAAAGAAGAGUUAAGCGUACAUCAACUCCCAAAAUGCCAAGACCAAUCAAUUUCCCGUGAGAGGAUCUUUUCAUUCUGAACAGGCACUACAUGGUAAAAGCUGGCUUCCGGCUCAUAAAGGUGAAUUAUCAGAAUUCCAUCAGCAGCAUCUACUUGCAUGUUCAUGAGACAGUUCUACCAUAGCAAAUUGAUGCAAUAUAAAGGUUCUUUCCCCAUUUCUCCUGCACAAUUGCCAUAGAGAAACUUGAGCUUUCAGAAAGAAGAAUAAAAAGGGAAAGGCAAGCACGAAGAAAAUGAGUAAUCAAAUAUUCCACCUUAACAUGUGUACUAGGAAAAGCAGAAGUCCGAAGCGUCUCUUGAGUUUCAUCUGCCGGUUUUCUCCUUGGAACACUAAGGACAAAAGCUGCCUGAUCCCAAGUUGCUGCAGUUGACGUGAUGCGGUAACCAUUAUCCCACCUUCGAUGAAUGCCUUCACUUGGAUAGAGAAAAUCUAGUUCCACAACCUAAAAUAGCUCAUUUCAAGGGAGGCAAAAUACAAUUAUCAGCUAUAUUUUCUCCACACCAACGUGCAUAUCAAUAGAAAGGAUAUUUGGUAAUCCAAAUAAAACCUGGUCAGAAAAUCCAGCACCGCGGGACAUAACAAUAGCCCAUCUACUCCCAGCAGUUGCCAUUGCUGUAACAUGAAAUCCUUCCCUCCAUUUCUUAUUAAUCCACUUGAAAGGAAAUGACUCGCUGACUUUAUAGGACUGCUGUAAGUAUUGGGUCCCUGUAUAAAGCAAUAGAGGACCAGUUAGACAUUUAGACUUGCAAUGCAGCUCUACAGAACCACAGAUGCACAAUUAGAUUGACAAGGUAGCUCUACAGAACCACAGAUGCUUAGACUAACCUUUAGACAUUACAACUAAAGAGCUUCCAUUGUUUGCUCCUGCUAUCGCACUAAUAUAGUAAUUCUUGUCCCACUGCUCCAUAAUCCAUUCCUUUAAAACAGAGAAAUAUUAUGAUGAUGUGUUCAUUUAAACAAGAAAUAGUCAUAAUCGUCUAUGUACCGUAAUCUAAAAGAGAAAAAAAUCCACUGAUAUAAACAACAAUGCUUGUUGCAAGCUGAGUUUCAACGUCAUAAGACAACCAUUCUUGAUAUGACGGAUCACUAACCUUAUGCAGAAAAUAUGGAGAGAGUUCAUAAACUUGGGCACUGAAGCCAGUGCCAGCAUCCAUAAUAAGAGCCCAAAGAUUUGAACAGGAAGCCACACUGCUAAUUAAUAACCCAUCUUCAUUUCCUUUCUCAAUGUGCUGGGAGAGCCUCACAUCUGCAACAUUAUAGUGAUAUCUACAACAAAUGAAAACAUAAACUUAUAGGUCAAAUUUGAAUUUAUAAAUUCCAGUGUAAGAAUUCUAAGGAUAUACAAAUUCUAAGGAUAUACCUUUGCUUCAUAGGCCUACGAGCAUUGUAUACACUAAUCCAUUGGGUUGCAGGCAUCCCCAUACGAAUCUUCUUAUUUGGUUGCUCAUCAUCCUCUUCCUCCAUGGUCAAUCUUGCUCUCUUUUGUCCAACUUGGCAUAUAAGCUUUCCAAUGCAAGGAGUAUAAGUUAGCUGAACUCCAAAUGAAGAUCUAUAACUAACAUCCAUAAAACAUAGUCUGCAUAGAUGCAAGAACAUUCAAAAUACCUUCUGAGCACCAUCAGUAUUUAUUGGCCUGACAUCUGGGUUUGGGCCAACAAUUCCAUCAAAAAGGGAUAUAUACUUUGCAUAGUUUGGUUCUUCGUCAAACUUCAAAUUCACCACAUACUCAACAAAUUGUCGGAAUGGCUGAGGGCAGAGGCAACACAAAGUUUCUGGGGAAGUGGCCAUCUUUUUCUUGCAGACAAGAAAUCCUUUAUUUUCCCCCUAAAAAAUAUAGUGUAUUUGUGUUAGAGUGGCAUACAUAAUCAGAUACAAGCAUAAGCGUACACAAAUUUUGAAAUUAUCAACCUGAUAUCCUUGCCAUGGCAACCGACCACGAAGAAGAAAUAUCAGGGUGUAAGCUAGAGAUUCCAAGUCAUCUCUCCUGCUACCAGUUCUACCAAGAUGAGCAUGCACACUAGCAUACCGCACCGUUCCCCUGCAGCACAUUAAUAAUCAGUAUACCAAUAAGUAAAAUCUCUUUGUGUUUUUGGAUUACUUGCAAAGAUCGUCAUAUUUACAGUCAAAUAAUUAAUCAAUGUUUAUUUCACCUGAAAACAUCUGGACGUUGAUCAUAGUCGACAUGCAGACCAGUCGAAUCUCGCCACCUGGUGGCUGUCACGUAAAAACAGGCAAUGAGAUGACAACGCAUUAGGUAAAUUAACUUGACAAGUAAUUUCAGCUGUAAGGAGAUUCUAUAACAAUGACUUACCUAGUCCAAGGUCAACAAGAAACAGCUUCUUCUCCUCGGCAGUUCCAGGGGGGCCAAGCAAAAAGUUCUCAGGUUUUACAUCCCCAUGUACAUAACUGUCAUCAACAUCAUCACAGAGAUUAUGAAGCCAGGUACAUUGCAAUCUAUAACUAUAUUGAAAGAAAUUCUGAAAUAAAAUAUCACCCUCUAGAGUGCAUCUUCUCCAAUAUGGAUAUUCCCUCAAUGGCAAUACAUGCAACCAUUUCAAUUGACAUCCUGAAAUUUAAAAGGUAGGAGUGUCAGAUAGGCAGACAGUGUUAAGUGUUGCAAGCGAACAGUAAGGUGAAAAAUGAAAAUCUUUUUAACAGGGUUGACAUUUUCAUUAUAAAGACAGGAAGAACUUACGUGUGCGAGCUGUUAUUCCAGACAUCCCACAAACUAGGCCCAAGCAUAUCCAUCACCUGUAUACCGAGUAGGGUUGAUUUAUAAUUCUGAAACUACGUUAAUUAGGAACUACACCUAAAAUGAAAUUUAAGCAAACAACUCAUACCAUGAUAUAGUAGUCAGCUUGCCGACCCUUAUAAUGAACCCUUGGCACCCCAUGACUACCGCCAAGUGCACUGGAUAGACAUACAAUUAAGUGGGUCACAAUACAAGACAGUGAGGGUGAGAAAGUGAUAUCUAUCCAUCAAACAUAUUACAAGAGAAAAGGGAGCCUCUUACUUGUAAAUCUGCCAUUCAUGAGGUGGACCAUAAUUACAUCCUUUGCUACUUCUAUGCUCAAAUUUCAAAGCAACCUAGAUGAAACAGAUAUGUUAAUACAAACCCGACAUAACACUUGUUUUCUUUCCAGAAAACAGAUUAUUCAAUGAUGUUACUCCACAAGGGGACAUAAAAAAGAUGACUGCACACCUCAACAGCUCCAGGGCCGGCCCCCAUGCGUCGACCAACAUAUACUUGACCAAAGCCUCCUUUCCCCAAUUUCUUCUCUAUUUUGUAUACCGGGGAACCACCAACCUGGACCUGUUGUCAAUAAAUCCGAGAACGAACAAAAUUGUCAAAAAGAAUACAAUGAAAUGCUAAUCAAAUAUUUCCCAGCUGAAGCACAUACUAUUACGAAGCAAACUGCAUUUUGCUGCCACUUCCCCACUCACAAAGAGUUCAUUGCCCACUUAAGUAAAUGAAAAACAGAUAUACAAAUACCACAUUCCCCCCAUCCCACUCGAAAUAAGAACAGCGAAUGCGAGACUUUCAAGACCUUCCUCAAAGUUAAUAGCUUAUACGACUUAAACGUGGAAAUAAAGACUGAGACUUUGAAUGGAACAAACAAAAUACACAAAAAGUCUCUCUUUUUCUCCUUCCCUCAGCCCACACAUCAUCCAAACAAAAACCCAACAAAAAAAAAAAUUGAAAAAAAAAUCAAAGAAUAAUAUUUAGAUUUAAUUUUUUUUUAAAUAAAGUGAAAUGGAAUGCAGGCAGUGAACAAAAAGAGUGACCUUCUCGGGAAUAGGAGCUGCGCCCUCAUCGUCAGCUCCGGGACCCUUAUCGCCACUGCGGCCGCCGCUAUCGUACUCGUCCAUGGCUCUCUCACCAGCCUCCUCCUUAAACGACCUCUUUUCAAUCACCGGACCACCCUCGGCCCUCCUACGCUUGCCGGCACCAGCUACCUUCUUUUCCUUCUGAUUAUUAAUCUGUUUCUUCUUCUGAUUAUUAUUAUUCUUCUUGUUCUGCCGAGUCCGUACAGUCGCCUUCCGGGGCGGGGUCUUGAUGAUCGGGUGCGGGUUUCGGUUCGGGUCAGGGUUAUCGGGCGCCCGGUUUCUCCGUGGUCGCAGCUCAGGCAUGGUAAGGGCGGUGGCGGUGGUCCAUGAAGAGCGAGAAGCGCGCCUUAUCGGGAAGAUUCAUGAAGCUUUUAGAACCAUCGGCGGAAGAAAUCGAUCAGUGUGGAUUGCUUAGACGGACAGAGAGAAAGAGGGAAAUAGAGAGUGUGUAGAGAGAGAAAAUUAGGGUUUGGGAGAGAGAGAAUUUUGGAGAUCUGUGGAGGGAAAUCAAAUGGAAACGGAGGAGGAAGGAGAAGAAGGGAUUCUAGAUUUUUUUCAGAGCGGAGAGAAAGAGACAGAAGCUAUGAACAGAUGGAGAUGUAAAUUCGUAAAUUUGAUUUCUAUAUUUUUUUGUUUUUGUUUUUUUCAUAUAAUAUUUAAUUAGUUGAGAUUUUGUAAUUAAAAAGGCCUAAUCGGAUAAAUGGUCCCCGUGGUGAUAAGGUAUUCGGAUGAUAGCCCCUGUGGUAAAAAAAUUCGGAUUUAAACCCCUGUGGUCUAAGUCUGUUAGGAUUUAUGCUCUUCUGUUAAAUAAUGCUGGCGUGGCUGCCAAAUGUUUGCCACGUGGCAAAAAUAAUAUAUAUAUAUUUUUUUUUUUAAACCUGAAUUUUUUUACAAAAAAAAAAAAAAAAAAAAAACCCAGAAACUCCUCCCGCCCUCCGCCCGUUCCCCCCCCCCGGCCGGAUUUCUUCUCCUUCUUCUUCCCGCCGGAGGCCAGCUCCCCCCCCCCCGCCGCGCGACCCUCCUCCCUCUCCUUCUUCCUUCUUCUUCUUCUUCCCGCCGGUCUCCCGCGCGACUCUCCUUCUUCUUCUUCUUCUUCUUCUUUUUCUUCUUCUUCUUCUUCUUCCCGCCGGAGACCAGCUCCCCCUCGCUGGAGCCCUCUCCCCGCACCCUCCUCCCUCUCCCUCUCCCUCUUCCUUCUUCUUCUUCUUGCAGAUCUGGGUUUUUUUUUUUUUUUUUUUUGUAAAAAUUCAGGUUUAAAAAAAAAAAAUAUUAUUUUUGCCACGUGGCAGACAUUUGGCAGCCACGUGGCAUAUAUGUGGCAGCCACAUCAGCAUUAUUUAACAGAAGGGCAUAAAUCCUAACAGACUUAUACCACAGGGGUUUAAAUCCUAACAGACUUAGACCACAGGGGUUUAAAUCCGAAUUUUUUUACCACAGGGGCUAUCAUCCGAAUACCUUAUGACCACGGGGACCAUUUAUCCAAUUAGGCCAAUUAAAAAUGGUGAUCAACUAACUUUUUUUUUUUUUGGACAAGAAAUUGGAAUGUAUUUUCAUUUUAUAUUUUUGUUAUUAAUUGAUGAUUUUAAGGUAGUGUUUCUCAAGGAAGAAAAUAUCGGUAAUAUCGGAAAUAUCGGUAGUCUGAAAACACGGAAAUAUCGAUGGAAAUAUCGGGAUAAUAUCGAUAUCGAUAUCGAUAAAAAUUACAUGGAAACCACGGAAAUUGUAAGAAAAACUUGGAAAUUUUUAUUGAAAAUUUGCAGGAUGUUUAUUUAGUCAAUUAUCUAUUAGUUUAUCACAAAAAAUUGGAAGGAAAUGCAUUGCAUGAUGGAUUUAACUGAUUUAAGUUGAUUAUAUAGCAAGUUGGCAAACAUUGUGAAUGUAGAAAAUAUGUAGUAAUUAAUGAAAGAAGUUUAAACACACCAUAAUCAUUUAUAUAUAAUGAAUUAGUACAAUAUUUUACACUUUAUACAUUGCAUAGUAAGAUACAUGAGUGACUUAGUACCACAUAGAGUUCCUAUGAGGUUCAAAAUUUUCACUAUCUUCAUCAUCUCUAUUUGUAGAGUAAGUGUAUUAUGAAGAGUAGUCAGCAACCAUGACAAUGGUUUUUAAGAACCAAAACCCAAAAGUCAAUAGGAAACCGAAUACUUCGGUAUUUUUCGGGAUUACCAAACAAAUGGGAUUUGGAAACCAAUCCCAUAUCGAAAAUUUCGGUAUUUUUCGGGAUGGGAUUCCCGAACUUCAGGAUGGUUUUGGUUUGGGAUUUUUCGGUUUGGGUUUGGGACUUUUUCGGUUUGAUUUGGGAUUUUCGGGAAUUUUUUCCAGCCCUACCAUGUAAGUGAUCAAAUAAAAAAUAGAAAAAUUAAAAACCACAUGCCAUUGACUAAGUAAUUAAUUGACACAAUUUAAAAUAUAAUACCACAAAAAAUUUGGAAUAUGUGCAAAUUUGUUUCUUGUAAAAAGAAUUCAAAACAAAACCAUAUAUAUAAAUAUAGUAGCAUAUUAUCACAACAACAUAAGUGAUAUGGUGGUUAAGGCGUUAAGAGUCAAAUGGGAGGGGGUUCGGAUCCCUUUAGUCUUAAAAUUGAGAUUUUUCAAAAAUUUUUAAGAAUUUUUGGAUGUCAUAUCGCGAUAUUAACUGCUUUUACCCAUGAUAUAAAAAUAUCAAUGUAAAAAAAAUAAAAAAUUUCUAACGAAUUGCAAAGGGCUCACGUGCUCCACUUUCAAGAAGCAGGGGUAACGGGCAAAAAUUGAAUGUUCUUAUGAUCUGCCAAUCUGACCAAUUUUUUUUUUUUUUUUUAAAUUGAGAUUAUAAUAUAAGGCUUAUAUAUCAAUCAUUUGAUUUUAUCAGUUUCGCAAACAAAAUUUAGUUUUUGAUCAUUUAGUUAAUUAUUUUUAGUUUUCUUUGGAAAGUCAAGGUUGGACGAACAAAUCAAAAAUCUGAAAAUCAACUAAACAAAAUCAUUGGAGUUGGUUUGGUUUUUUUAUUUCGCAUUUCAAUUUAUAUGACAAACCAAACCAAAAAUAUCAAUUAUAUGCAAUUUUUAUUUUUACAGCACGUGGGUUAUCCGAACCAAAUCGCUUAUGAUUAAAUAUACUAGUAUAUGCUCACACAUAAAGUUCAUGUGAAAUUUUUAUUUUUGUUAAUUUGAAGGAGAGAAAGCGAGUGAGAGAAAACGUGAAAGUGGGAGAAAGUGAGAAAGGUAUGUCUUUUUAUUUAUUUAUUUUUUUUAAAUUAAAGUUAUAAAAUCAUCUGUAGUUGAGGUUUAAACAAAAAACACCAAAAUUUUGCUUUAUAAAAUUACGUUACUGUCCUUAACUUUUUGGUUGUGAUAGAAGACAAAAAUGUAUUUUCACUUUGUUUUGAUUGACAAAGAAAAUUUUAUUAAUGUGUAGUAUAGAUAAAAUAGCACAUAAUAUUUAGAAUAUUAUAUAAAAAAUUUAUAUAAUAUUUAUAAAAUCAUCUAUAGUAUAGAAAAUUUUAUCAAGUCUUCAGUCAAGAAAGUCUUUUGGUUGGAGACUUGAAAUUCAGUCCAUGUAUGGGCCGAAGUAACUAGAUGUUGUCUUGAACUGAUGCUCGAUAUGAGGCGGUGCUCAAUCUGAAGUGAUGCUCAACUAGAAGUAGCACAUGUUGCGAGGCUACUCGGUUUGUGGCUUAUGUUGUCUUGGUUGGCUCGGCUUGUGACGUUAAAGGUGAGGGAGUCCAUUUUAUAGAAUAAGGGCUCGCUCCUUAUUACAAAAAUGAUGGGCUAGAGUUGGUGCUCACAGCGAGGCGGUUGCUCAGCUGGCGGCGAUGUUCUCUAAUGAAGGUGAAUGAGUCAUUUUUAUAGAAUAAGGGCUCGCUCCUCAAUACAUAAGUGAUGAGUUAUGAGUGAUGCUCGCGGCGAGGUGGUUGCUCAGUAGGCGGCGAUGCUCUCUAAUGAUGGUGAGGGAGUCCCUUUUAUAGAAUAAGGGCUCGUUCCUCAAUACAUAAGUGAUGGGUUAGGAGUGAUGCUCGCGGCGAGACGGUUGCUUAGCUGGCGGCGAUGCUCUUUAAUGAAGGUGAGGUAGUCCUUUUUAUAAAUAAGGGUUCGCUCCUCAGUACAUGAAUAAUGGGUUAGGAGUGAUGCUCGCGACGAGGCGGUUGCUCAGCUGGCGGCGAUGCUCUCUAAUGAAGGUGAAGAAGUCCCUUUUAUAAAAUAAGGGCUCGCUCUUCAGUACAUGAAUAAUGGGUUAGGAGUGAUGCUCAUGGCGAUGCGGUUGCUCAGCUGGUGGCGAUGCUUUCUAAUGAAGGUGAGGGAGUCCCUUUUAUAAAAUAAGAGCUCGUUCCUCAGUACAUGAAUAAUGGGUGCUCUCUAAUGAAAGUGAGGGAGUCCCUUUUAUAGAAUAAAGGGCUCGCUUCUCAGUACACAAAUAAUGGACUAAGUCCCCCAAGUAUUUUUCAUGAGGCCCAGUUGAGGUCCAAUAUAUGGUACAUAAUGUAGUCCCCCAAGUCUUCAGUCAAUAGAGUCUGUUGGCUGGAGACUUCAAAUUGAAUCCAUGUAUCGGCCGAAGUGGUGGUUGUUCGGAUGCGGUAUUUAUAUACCCUGCACUGAAGCUUUGUAGGUGAAGUUUUGCAAGUGAAGCUUUGAAGCUGGAGCUCUGUAAUGAAGCUUUCGAAGUUAGAGCCCUCGAAACUGGAGCUCUGUAAAUGAAGCUUUCGAAGCUGAUUGACAUGAGUGAUGCUCAUGAAUGUUUAUGUUGAUUAACAUGAGUGAUGCUCAUGGAUAUUGACAUGAGUGAUGCUCAUAAAUAUUGACAUGAGUGAUGCUCAUGAAUGUUGACAUGAAUGAUGGUUAUGAAUGUUUAUGUAUGAUUGACAUGAGUGAUGCUCAUGAAUGUUUAUGUAUGAUUGACAUGAGUGAUGCUCAUGUAUAAUUUUGGAGUACUGGACAUUCAUUUGAUCACCUGGUUGGUGAUAAUAGCGGCAGAUUGCCGAAUAAUUUUUGUAGUACUUGACGUACUUUUGAUUACCUGGUUGGUGAUAAUAGCAGCAUGCUGCCGAAUAAUUUUGGAGUACUGGGUGUACUUUUGAUCACCUGGUUGGUGAUAAUAACGGCAGGCUGCUGAAUAAUUUUUUGUAGUACUGGACGUACUUUUGAUCACCUUAGUGAUAAUAGAGGGCCUAGCUCUUUUGGGCAUAUGGGCCUUCACCCUUCACAUAACACUCCAGCCCAUUAUUUUGGGCUUGCCGUUUUUUUUAUUAUUAUUUUUAUUUUUUUAUUAUUACCCUCUGAUAAGGUUAUACAGAUAUCUCCGAAAGAUACGAUUUAAAAAUAAAUCCGACCCUCUGCUCAAUGGGUUACGCCUAUAAUUCCUUCUUCUCUAUUCCAUCACCAUCGCAAUUAUGUCUGCUUCUUUUUAUCUUCUUUUUCUUUCUGCUUUUUCUUUUUCUUUUCCCUUUUGUAGAUGGCAGACAAGGAAUGAUUAAUAGAAUUACUGAUAAGAAAAGAAUCUUAUAUUUGCUUUUGCUUUUGUUUCUGUUUCUUCUCGGUUUUUCUGCUGAGAGUCACUAGGUUGAGAUUCCGAGUUCGAGGGAUCCGAGUCGGGAGCUGGUCUGAUGGGUCCUCUCGCCUACAUGUGGUGUACCUGAUGGGUCAUCUCGCCGCCACUAGAUCCCAACUGCUGUUGCUGGAGGUGUUAUCUGUGCUUGAGCCUAUCGAGUUUAGUGCAAGUCUUCACCACUGCACCAAAAGCCUUAUCCAUAGGCUUACCCAUCAAGUGAUCUGGUUUUGCUGGGGUCAUUAUGCAGAGAUGAAAGUGGGUUAUAUCAGGGCAAUUUUGUGCAACAGUUGCUACAGUAGCAUUAGUCAUCUGCCAACAAAAGUAGAGGACAUAAUGGAGUCUUGGACAGCCAUUGGACACAACAAUAAACUUAGAUUCAAUCACCCCAUCAACAACAUCAUCUCCAUCGGGAGAAGAAGGGAAAACACAGAGUUCCUCAAUCAAAGGACAGUUUGAUCAAACAGCCUCCAACCCUUUGUCUUCCACUGUGUCCAGCACCCAAAGACGCCGGAGAAUGUGGACAAUGAGGAACAAGCUUAGCAAGGUCCCAACUUUGCAAAGUUGCUGCAUAGCUCAAAUUCAAGAAAGUAAGAUUCGUGCAGACAGGAUACAGAACUGGGAGAUAAAUAACUGUUGCUUUUCAUAAACUAGAGAGCGUAUGUAAAUUCUUGUAGUUACUAAACACUCUUUCGAGUUCUAAAUGCUGAGAGGGUGUGAGCUCUUACCAGAACGAGCCGGUGCCUAGCUCGAGAAGUUGAAGAGCAUGGUUGAGAAGACUUCGUAGUUGGUCCUAAAACUCGAUCCUGGAAAAAGGGUGUGAGCAUGAUGAGGUAGAGAGCGAGGGAGUACUGGAGAGAGAGAGAGAGGCAGAUCGUAAUGAGAUACUGAGAGCACCAAGUCAGUGGCUUCCAUUUGAUCUUAACGCUCGAGCUCUUCAUCCUCUUUCUGAUCUGCGGCCUAUUCGACAAAUCGAAGCUCGCCUCCUUCAUCCUAUUCCUUACCGUCGUUGCGCUCAAAUGGCUUUCAGCAAAGAGAGAGCAGAUUCAUCAAUGCCUGAAGCAUCUCACAUCUCAAUUGAUGGAAUUAAAGAGAUUUUCUACGAGUCUUGGAUUUUCAGUGUAGAGUGGUUGAUGAGAGAGAGAGAUCUGCGAAGGUUUUUAUGGAACAGCCCAAGGAGGGAGGAGUCUCCGAAGGUUUGUGUUGGUUUGUGUCUGGGCUGCUUGGAGAAUUUAGCCUCACAGAGAGAGGUUUUGGUUUCUUGGGUUUUGCAGAUUCAAGGUAGAGACUGUGGUAAGGUUUCACGGAAAUGAAAAAAUGAAAGAGAACCGACAUAGCUUUUUGUGUCAAUUCCCACAGACGGCGCCAAAUGUUGAUGCACAAAACCGGAUGGGUUUUGGAACAACGUAAAUUAGACUGUGAAUUUGCAAGAAAGUAAAUAACACAAGAUGUAUGGUGAUUCACCCCAAUGUUUGGGCUAUGUCCACACUGAUAUUGUAUUUCUCUGAGAGGAUUGUGAGGGAGAGAGCCUCUGAGGGUGAGAGAGCUCUUUCCCAAGGCCUAAUAAUUGGCCUCUUUUAAUGAGGAGAGUGAGGGGUCAUUUUAUAGAAUAGGGGCUCCUCACUUAUUAGAUAUUUGCCCCUUCAUUUAUUACAUAAUUACAUUUGAGUCCCCCCGAGUAUUUAUACGAGAUCUAAAUACGAAGGCCCUAAGUAUGGUAUAAACAACUUAAACUCUUGGUUUCUUUAUGGUUCUAACAUCUAGUAUCAGAGCCUUAUCACGGGGCUUGAUAAAAAAUCUAAAACAUGAGAGCAAGUGAAGCUGGGCAACGACUCGAGUCUCACUGUGCUAGGUAAAGGCAAUAUAAGAAUGGAAAUCAAAGGGAUGAUACAAGUCAUCACUGGAGUUUUCUAUGUGCCAGAGCUAAAGAACAAUCUACUGAGUAUCAGGCAACUCCAAGAGAAGGGACUUGCAGUGCUCAUGCAAUAUGGAAAAUGUAAGAUCUUUCAUCCUGAGAAAGGUCUUAUCAUGGAGACUGAGAUGUCAUGUAAUCGAAUGUUCGCAGUGCUCGCACGAUGCCCAUCAAAAGAGCAAAUGUGUCUUUCCUUGCUGACCACAUAUCAAUCCCAACUUUGGCAUUAUCGCUAUAGACAUCUUAGUUGGAAUGGUCUUAAAAUUCUCCAACAAAAGAAGAUGGUUGAUAGGCUGCCUCAGAUCAAAGCUUCUUAGAUAGUUUGAGAAAAUUAUUUAGUGGGAAGGCAACCUCGAGAUCCAUUUCCAAAAGAAAGUCUAUGGAGGGCAUCUGAGACUUUUCAAUUAGUGCAUGCUGAUAUAUGCGAACCAAUAAGUCCCACCUCAAAUAGUAAAAAAAGGUACCUCAUCACUUUCAUUGAUGACUUUAGUAGAAAAACCUGGGUAUAUUUCUUGGUGGAGAAAUUAGAAGCAUUUGUUACCUUUAAAACCUUCAAAGCUAGGGUUGAGAAGGAAACUAAAAGGUUCAUAAGAAGCUUGCACACUAACCGUGGAGGUGAAUUUCCAUCACAAGAGUUCACUAAUUUUUGUGAUGUAAAUGGGAUUAAAAGACAGUUGACGGCUGCGUACACUCCCCAACAGAAUGGGGUGGUGGAGAGGAAAAAUUGAACCAUAAUGAACAUGAUCUGAAGCAUGCUUUCUGAGAAGAAAAUCCCAAAGACUUUCUGGCCCGAAGCAACAAAUUGGAUUGUGCAUGUUUUAAAUAGAAAUCCAACACUCGCUGUGAAAAACAAGAUUCCAGAAGAAGCUUGGAAUGGACGUAAGCCAUGUGUGGGACACUUCAGAGGUUUUAGGUGCAUAUCUUAUGUUCAUGUACCUAACAGUAAGCGAAUUAAGCUUGAUGAUAAGAGCUUGAAAUGCAUCUUUCUCGGGUUCAGUGAGGAAUCCAAAGCCUAUAGGCCGUUUGAUCAUAUUUCUUAGCAGAUUAUUAUGAGCCUAGAUGUGGUUUUUGACGAGAACUAGGAUGACAAUCAUGAGGAAGCAAUCUUGGCUGACCUUAAAUGGGAAAUCGAAGGAGAAAAUAGUACAUAAAUUGGUAAUAGUGAAGAGGAACAUGCAAUGGACAUUAUUGAAAAAGCUGUGGAAAAUGAAGAAUCAGUAUAAGUGUCAGAUGAAAGCUCACCACGAGAUGGGCGAAUAAGGAGACCACCAGUUUGGAUGAGGGAUUAUGUAAGUGGUGAAGGAUUUUCAGAGGAGGAUGAUGUGAAUGAAAAUUUGGCUCACUUGGCCUUAUUUUUUUAUAUUGAUCCUCUUUCCUAUAAAGAUGCAGUGAGAAGUAAAACAUGGAGACAAGCUAUGAAUGUAGAGAUUAAAGCUAUUAAAAGGAAUGAUAUAUGGGAACUGACCGAGCUACCACCUGGAAGGAAAACAAUUGGGGUGAAGUGGGUUUUUAAAACAAAACUCAAUGAGAAUGGAGAAGUAGACAAGUACAAGGCUUGGUUAGUCGCAAAAGGGUACAUUCAAUAGUACGGAGUGGAUUAUGUUAAAGUGUUUGCGCCUGUGGCAUGUUUGGAUACUAUAGGAGUCGUAAUAGCACUUGCAGCUCAAAAAAGUUGGACGAUUUAUCAGUUAGACGUCAAGUCUGCCUUUUUACAUGGAGAAUUGAGUGAAGAGGUGUUCGUUGCACAACCUCCUGGUUAUGAGAAGAAAUGGCCUUAAACAAGCUCCUCGAGUCUGGUACAGUCGCAUAGAGUCUUACUUCGUACGAGAAGGGUUCAAGAAAUUCCCAUAUGAGCAUACUUUAUUCACCAAAACAAUGAAUGAAGGUAUGUUACUUGUUUGUUUUUAUGUUGAUGAUCUUAUAUUCACUAGAAAUGAUGAGAGUAUGUUCAAAGAGUUCAAACAAUCUAUGAUGGUUGAAUUCAAAAUGACUGAUCUUGGGAAUAUGAGUUAUUUUCUUGGUAUUGAAGUAUUGCAAAAAACAGAUGGUAUUUUCGUCAACCAACGGAAAUAUGCUCAGGAGGUAUUGGAAAGGUUUUAUAUGGAUCAGUGCAAUCCUGUGCACAACCCAAUGGUUCCAGGUUUCAAGCUUAUGAAGGAUGAAGGUGGAGUGAGGGUUGACAGCACCCCUUACAAGCAAAUGGUAGGGAGUCUUAUGCAUUUGACGACUACGCGUCCUGAUAUGAUGUUUGUAGUAAGCUUAAUCAGCCGUUACAUAGAGCGUCCCACUGAGCUUCAAUUACAAGCAAUGAAAAUGGUGUUAAGGUAUUUGAAGGGCACUUUCAGUCUUGGGGUGUUUUACAAGAAGGGAGGAGAUGAAGGAUUAAUGGGAUACACCAACAGCAAUUACGUAGGAGAUCAAGAUGACAGAAAGAGCACUUCAGGGUACAUAUUCAUGAUGGGGUCAGGAGCAGUGUCGUGGUCGUCAAGGAACCCUAACCCUAACGGCUAGAAUAUCCUAACAACUUUAACAGAGUUUUUAUUUCUUCCAUAAUUUUGAAUUUGAGUAGCAUGCACAUAAGGCAUUAACAAAAUUGUGGAUUCUAUACGCACUACAUAUGAGCACACUAACGGAAAUAUCUAGUGCUAUCAGUCUCUGGUGUUAAUGCUAUAGCUUUUUCUGAAAAGUUCAUGUACUCUUGAAUCCGAAAACAUAAUUUCGAGAGCAAAUUGAAACUCGGAUUCAAAUUUCAAUGGCUAACACUCCAAUUUACUAGAUAUCCGGCUUGGUUAGUUUAAUAAUUGGGAUUUUGACGCCUUGUUUGCAUAAGCUAUAUUAGUAUGGGGCUUUUAUAUCUAGGUCCGAAAACAUAGAUGGUUUUUAGGAAUGAGUCCAGUUAUUUAAUUACAUGUUUUUAUUUCUUUUAUACUCAUUUUAUAUUUUUUAAAAAUAUUAAAAAUCAAUUAAAAUAUUCUAAUAUUAUGCAUUUUUCAACUCCAAAAAAUCUAAUUAAUAUCUUACAACAACAAAAACUAAUAUACUAACAUAAAUUAUCUACAAAAUAUUCUACCUUAACUCAAGUAACAAAUAUAUGAAUAUAUAUUAUACCUGUAAGCGAGAUAUGAAACCUAACUAAAAGGUAGGAAAAAACAUAAUAUACCUACAAGCAAGACACUUUAAUUUGUGACACGUUGAUUAUAAAAAAGAAUCUGUCAUAUAGAUACAUAAAAAUAAUUAACCUGUGAUAUAGGUUGAUUAUAAAAAUUAAAAAUAAAAUCUAUAAAUGGGGUUUAAAGCAGGAGGAAGAACAAGAAAUAACAAAAAAUACAAAUAAAAAGAAAUAAUCAAAAAGAUGAUUAGGACGAAAUUUGAUUUUUAUAAUAAAUCUGGCCAUUGAAUAGAUAAUUAUUGAUAAUAAAAUAAUUAAAUUUACAGAAUUGGACUUAUUUUAAUAAAUUGGAUUAUUCCUACUAUUGGCUAAAAAAAUUGGACUUAUAUCAAGUUUUCCCUAUUAGUAUUCUCACAUAUGAUGAAAUUGAGGUUCUACCAUAAAACCAAUUGGCAAUAUGGGGAGUCGCCAAGACCAUAUAAGCAUAUAGCAAACCUUGUCCCUCACUGAUGUGAGACAGCUCUCAACACGCCCCCGCAUGUGUGGUAGAUUUUUAAGCCUACACGUGGACAACAACUGGGUGGGUGUGGCUGUUUGGCUUCAUACGAGGACAAUCCACAUUGAUACCAUGAUGAAAUUGAGGUUCCACCAUAAAAUCAAUUGACAAUAUAAGAAAUAGCCCAAGACCAUAUAAGCACAUAGCAAACCUUGUCCCUUACCGAUGUAAGACAACUUUGAACAACAUAUUCUUUGAAUUGGGAGCCCAAAGUACUCCUCGUCUAGUAUUUUGUGUGAUUAAUUCAAGAAUGUUCGAAUGUGCGCAUAACUCGUGUUAUUUCAAAUGAAGAAUGUUCGAAUGUAUCAACCUAGGGUUGUGAAAACUCAGUAAACCAUCGAAGACGACGAACAAAUCCCAGAAAAUGAAGAACAAGAAGUUAGAGGUGUCUGUGAGUGUAGUUCUUCUCAAUCUAUGAAUUUUGGUUGCGUAAUGACUGAUCAUUUUUCUUUUAUUUUGUAGGUUGAAUCCGAAAAUGUAAAACGUAAAGUUUUAGCUUCCUAGAAAAAUGAAUCAAGGCAGGAUGAUCUUGACAAGAGUGAUCAGGUGAAGUUCAAGAAAUAUGAUUUGUGAGCUAAUAUAUUAUUCAUCAUAUCGUGAAUUCUACCAAUUAUCUUAUCUUCUUUUUCUUCGUAUAAUUUGUUUUGGUACGACAUACAUGAAAUCCCAUGAUUCGUUGAUGCAUUUCUGAAAAAUAAAUUUUGGAUUUCAAAACUUUAGAAUGGCUGCGUAAUACAUUAAUUGAAGAUGACAAUUUGAGAUCAUGCUUUUAGAUUUUAUAUUUCUUAUCGCCUCUAAGGAAGAUAUUAAUUCUAGGAAAAACGAAAUUUCCACAAUGACUGUAAAUCCCUCCAAUAUCCUAUGAGCUUGGACUCGGUGUUAGUCAACCUCACCGUGUUGCUGUCUAUGCGACUGCUAGGCGAGUAGCAUAUGACCUUGGAUUAUGUGUAUUUUACACCAAAAAAGUAUCAUUACUGUCUUCUUUGUGUAAUGUAGUUUCUUAUUGUGCAGAGUGAUUUUUUGUUGAAGCAAUACUCUCUCAUAAUUUUUGAUGAAGUUCAUGUUCGGAGCUAUAACACAGACAUGCUUAUGGGAAUGCUUUUGCGUGUUAGCAUAGCACGUCAGGUGACCUUAAGAGUAGUUCUUAUUGCUAAAGUUUACAUUAAUCAAGGUUUAUAACCCAUUUUCACACUCACUUGCAUGUGAUUACAGGAAGAAUAUGAAAACCAGCGAAAGUGGAUGCUUUGGGGAAAAACUUUAAGGCCCGGAGUGUUGGUAUAUGGUCCAGCCCAUGAUCAAUGUUCUAGAUUAUUCUAGUAAGCAAGAGAUGAGGCUGGAGCUUGCUAGACAAUUCUAGCAUGUUAUUAAGUUGAUGGAAGAAGCUAGAGAGUACUAGCUUCCUUGGUUGCAAAUGGAAAGAUCUAGAAGCUACAAGUAUGUGGCUAGUCUAGAUUUUUCUAUACUAGAGGUUUGAAGAAGGAACUAGAAACUAGUAGAAUGCCAAGCCCUCACCUAUAAAUAUGGGUGUGAUGUAACCAAUUGAGAACCAAGAGUGAGUAGCAAAGGAUCAAGUCCAAAGCUAGAGUUCCACUCCAAGAGUGAGAGUGAGAGUGUUCCACUACACAUUGUGUGAGUGAAGUUUAGAGUGAUAGAAAGUGUGUGUUAUACUUUCUUGUAUCCAUCAAGCCUUGUCUUUGGCUUGGUAAGACUACUCUUGUUGUAUUCAUCUUUUUCAUAUAGUGAAGAUUGAUCCUUGUUUGGUGGACGUAGGCAUAAAUUGCCGAACCACAUAAAUUCUUGGUGUCCAUUUUCUACUUUACCUUGUGCAUUCUCUAUCUUGUAGUACCGACAUCCCUAACAAGUGGUAUCAGAGCCCGGUUGGCUCGUACUACGAGAUGGAAGGAAGUGGCACUAUGAUCAAACUCACCAACUCCAAUUGGGUAACAUGGAAGCCAAGGAUGGAGGACAUUCUCUAUUGCAAGGAUUUGCAUGAGCCAAUUGAAGGAGAUGCCGCUAAGCCCGAGAGCAUGUCCGAUGCCGAGUGGAAGAAGAUGAAUCGCAAGGCUAUUGGCACAAUUAGACAAUGGGUGGAUGAUAGUGUUUUUCACCAUGUGUCUAAUGAAACCAAUGCUCGCGAGUUUUGGACGAAGCUUGAGUCCUUGUUCGAGAAGAAGAAGACCCUAGCCAAGAAAGCCUUCUUGAUCAAAGAGCUCAUCAAUGUGAAGUACAAGGAUGGUUUAAGUGUAGCAGAACACUUGAACAAUUUCCAGAAUAUCAUCAACCAGUUGGCUACUAUGAAAAUGACGAUCGAGGACGAGCUACAAGCGCUCUUGUUACUUGGAUCCUUGCCAGACAGUUGGGGAGAACCUUUGUGGUGAGUAUAAGUAACUCUCUGCUUCUAAUGGUGUUCUUACUCUUGAUAAUGUUAAAAAUAGCAUGCUCAAUGAAGAAACAAGGAGAAAGACUUCUGGCACAGAUAGCAGCCAAGUAUUUGUCACAGAGAACCGCGGAAGAAGCAAGAGUAGAGGGCCUAGAGGUCAUGGCAGGAGUCCUAGCCGAUCCAAGUCAAGGUUCAGGGGUGCAUGCCACCAUUGUGGCAAAGAAGGCCAUAUGAAGAAAAAUUGUCGAGUUUGGAAGAGAGAGCAAAGGGAAGGAAACUUGUUAGAUCUUGUUUAUUCAGAUGUGUGUGGUCCCAUGGAAGUCGAGUCACUUGGAAGAAAUAAAUAUUUUGUUACUUAUAUUGAUGAUGCUUCACGAAGGGUGUGGGUGUAUUUGUUGAAAUCCAAAGACCAGGUGUUUCAGACAUUCCAGGAGUUCCAUGCCAUGGUGGAGAGGGAAACUGGGAAACCUCUCAAGUGCCUUCGUAGCGACAACGGCGGCGAGUACACAUCUCACCAGUUUAGAGAGUAUUGUGUAAAACAUGGCAUACGUCAUGAGAAGACAGUUCCUGGAACUCCACAUCAUAACGGUGUUGCUGAAAGAAUGAACCGAACCAUCAUGGAGAAAGUCAGGUGUAUGUUGAGGACUGCAAAGUUAUCUAAGCAGUUCUGGGGUGAAGCUGUAAGGACAGCCUGCUAUUUGAUCAACCGAUCUCCAUCAGUACCAUUAGGUCUUGAUGUUCCAGAGAGAGUAUGGACUGGUAAUGAUGAUGUGUCUUACUCUCAUCUGAAGGUGUUUUGGUUGCAAAGCUUUUUGUGCAUGUGCCCAAAGAGCAGAGAGAUCGAAGUUAGACUACAAAGCUACACCGUGCAUCUUUCUUGGUUAUGGCGGUGAAGAUUUUGGUUACAGAUUAUGGGACCCAUACCAGAAGAAGUUUAUCCGAAGUAGAGACGUGGUCUUUUAUGAAGAACAAACAAUUGGGGAUUCGGAUAAAGAGGCACAACCAGAUGGCGCAGUCAGAGGAGUUGAUCCAUUAGCUUCAGAUGAAGAAAGUCACGAUGACAUCCCUGAAGCAACUGCCAAUGAAGUGCCUGCAGAAUCAGAUAAUGCUAAUCAAGAGGAGCCUGAUCAAGAUGUGCCAGACCAUGAGAUUGCUGAUCAGGGGGAGCCUAGUCAAGAAAAGCAGAUUUUGGGCAUGGAGAUAAUUCGUGACAGAAAAUCCAAGAAGUUGUGGCUGUCACAAGAAAAGUAUGUUGAACGUGGGUUGAAAGGUUCAACAUGAAAGCAGCCAAACCGGUAAGCUCACCUUUAGCCAAUCAUAUCAAGUUGAGCAAAGAGUCGUGUCCAAAAACAUAUGAAGAAAAGGAGAAAAUGGCAGUUGUUUCCCUACUCUUCAGCAGUAGGAAGUAUCAUGUAUGCAAUGGUGUGCACACGACCAGAUAUUGCUCAUGCAGUAGGUGUGGUGAGCAGGUUUCUCUCUAAUCCAGGGAAGGACCACUGGGAAGCCGUUAAGUGGAUUCUCAGAUAUUUGAAGGGGACUUCUAAGAUGUGCUUGUGCUUUGGCGGUUCCAAACCAAUCUUGGAAGGAUUUACAGAUGCUGACAUGGGAGGUGACCUGGAUGGUAGAAAAUCUACAUCUGGGUACUUGUUCACUUUUGCCGGGGGAGCCGUGUCUUGGCAAUCCAAGUUGCAAAAGUGUGUUGCUUUGUCCACAACCGAGGCUGAAUACAUAGCCGCUACAGAAGCAUGCAAGGAGUUGUUGUGGCUGAAGCAGUUUCUCCAAGAGUUGGGUUUGAAGCAAAGUGAUUAUGGCAUUUAUUGUGAUAGUCAGAGUGCUCUGGACUUGAGCAAGAACACUACAUAUCAUUCACGCACUAAGCACAUUGAUAUUCGUUAUCACUGGAUUAUAGACGCUAUCGAGAACAAGUUGCUGCAGCUGAAGAAGAUUCAUACCGAUAAUAAUUCUUCAGACAUGUUGACAAAGGUAGUCACAAAAUCAAAGUUGGAAUUCUGCAUUAAAGCUGCUGGGAUGAACUCCAGGUAACUUGGAGUCAUGAUCGGAAUUCCUCCCUCAUGGACUGGAGGGGGAGAUUGUUGGUAUAUAUGGUCCAGCCCAUGAUCAAUGUUCUAGAUUAUUCUAGUAAGCAAGAGAUGAGGCUGGAGCUUGCUAGACAAUUCUAGCAUGUUAUUAAGUUGAUGGAAGAAGCUAGAGAGUACUAGCUUCCUUGGUUGCAAAUGGAAAGAUCUAGAAGCUACAAGUAUGUGGCUAGUCUAGAUUUUUCUAUACUAGAGGUUUGAAGAAGGAACUAGAAACUAGUAGAAUGCCAAGCCCUCACCUAU